rnacentral:lncRNA from 1 species
UGAUGGCGUAGGGAACGCGGACGCCGCACUUGCCGGGGAUUCCGGCGAUGAGGCCGGUCUUGAGGCCAGAGAUACCGGCGGCAGCGUUCUUGAGGCAAGUGCAUGCGGUCCGGCGGUCUGGGGUGGUCUUCGCCGCCGCGGCGAGUCCCCUCACUCCACUGCAGCACGCGCCGGGGAUCUGCCCACCGUUGCGGACGUAGUUGAUGCAUGGCGUCAGGUAAGACACCACCUGGCCGCAGGUGAUGGCAUCCGCCGUGUGCGGUGCUGCCACCAGCAGCACGGCCAGGACCACCACCGUAGCCAGAGGAGCACCGCAGCGAGCCAUGGUUCAGGAGUAUGGGUGAUAGGCAAGCAGGGAUGGAGGAAAUGCUUGCCAUGGCUGGGGUUUAUAUAGGCUUGAAGGUGGGGAGGGGUUAGGUGGCAGAAGUAUGAUGAACGGGAACGGGUGGUUGGGGGUUGGGAUGGGAUGGCUGGCGAUGAUAAGAUCCUAGGGAGGCAAUAAUACUACUUCAUGCAGCCAGCUUUGGGAAAAUAACGUAAGAAGGCGGUGGUAAAGCUUUCUAGUCGGCAAGAAAGGUUAGAUUUAUGUUUCUUGUACUGCAAUGCGAUGGCACAUCCCAUGAAAUGAGUUGAGAGUUGAGAGUUGAGAUAACGAAAUCGAUGAAUUGUGGUAGAAGUUUGUACAUAUUCGUAGCUAAUCAUCAAGGCAUGGGAGAACUAGUAAAUGGGAAUGGAAGUGCGUACGAUAUAAAUGCUAGGAGACGUUGUGGGGGCCAACCUUCAAUGAAUUAUCCGACUUUGCUGCUGGGCUCGCAGCUCGCUUCAACAGGGCGGAAGCAACAGGGCUACACCCUAUUCGGGUCAGAUAGAUCAGAUACGAAUUGAAUUAGAUACAGAGUAGAUUAAAAAUUUAUUAAUCAAAUAUAAUAUUUUUAUAGGGUAGGUCAAACAUAUCAAAAUCUAAAUUCCAUCAUUUUACUAUAAUUAAGUACGUAGCCCAACUAGAUCUACAAAGGUUAUAUAGGUUGAACAGUUCCAAGAUUAUCAAAAAAAAAAAAUCGGUACCAAACGAGGUGCUCAAAAACAGCAGACUUCAGCCCGCUUUCUUCUUUAAUAACUUCCCCAUCAAGUUGGAUUAUUUUGGACAACAUGGUGGCAAACUGGCAAAGGUACCCAAAUUUCAUUAAUAAAUGAAACUAAAUCAGAAUAGCGGUUGAGUAAUAAAAAAGAGAGAGCUAAACUGAAGAGGAGCCAGCACUAGCCAGCCUAUUAAAUUCAAAAAUCAAAAGAGAAAUGAAUGAGAGUCAAAUUGGGUCUUGUGUUCCAAGUAUGAAAUAUAAGUGGUUAAUUAAAACUUCACUCCCUACCACACCCUCAAUUGUCCAUCAAGUCGGUGUCGAUUUUUUUUGGUAACCAAGUCGGUGUCGAUUACAGGGACGUCAAUUUCUCUUGUUGCGUCCCGGAGACUCCCGGAGAGUGAGAUUUCUGUCCUCACUCCUCUCAUUCACAUGCUGUAGUAUCACAUCAGUAAUAAAUGUGGGAGAGAGAGAUCUAAUGAAGUAUACAGUGGCCUGCUAAAAAAUUUAAGAUGAUACCUCGGGACUGGCUCCAUUUCCGAAAAAGUAAUAUUUACAAUGAAACGUAGAAUAUUUGUUAUAUAAGAUGUCAAUUUAUGAUCUGAUAUGGCAAUCGGCGGGCUUGCGUCAAUUUAUAGCAGAUCCAGAUUUGGGAUAAAUAAAUUUGCUGGAUAAACAGUGUAACCACUUUAAUUCAUUUCGAUCUAUUUAAUAAUUAAAUCAUGAUGCAACGUAUAUAUUUAAUCCAUCUAUUUAAUUUAUUUAAAAUUUAUUUCAUCUAAUUUUAUUCUAUUUAGUCCGACUUGUAUAAUUUGUCUAGCCUAUUUAAAUUUAUUUAACUUAUUAAAAAUUUACUUAAUCUAUUUAAGCUGACUUUAGAUAUCUAAUUAAUGGAUUAUGAAUGGGAUCAGAUUAUCUCUUAAUAAGCAUGCUAUGUUUAUAUUUAAAUUUUUGGCAUAUUUAAUAAAGAUUAGUUUUGAAGUUGACAAAUUUUUAACUCAAUCCAUAUCUGACCCAAACUAACUUGAUUGGCACCCUAUUGGAGAUAAUUUCAAUCUAUGAAUUAAAUUAGAAUAUGAUUAUUAUAUUUCAUGGAAAAAUCUUUUUCAUGAGAAACAUGAAAAGUUUACUUUUUCAUGAGCCGAAAAUUACUUCAUUUUUAUUUUUUUCUAAAAAUACCCUUCAGCAUUAAAGAGACAUUAGAAACCUAAUUUUUAUUAAGAGUAUAAUUGGAAUUAUACAUAACUUUUUUAGGAAAGUGAAUGAUCAAUCAAAUAUAAGCAUUUAUAAAUCUGUCACUUUUCUAUGAUCAACUAAACAUGUCAAAAGUAUUUUUUCAGAUAUCCUUUUUCUAAAAAUUUACUUUUUAGAAAAUAUAUUAAAAAAAAAAAAGCUUCCCAUAAACCUAACGAGCCCUUAACUUUUAUGCCUCUUUUAUACCGUUGUACAUCAUGACAAACCUCAGGAGGGUUUUUGAUAUUUUAUUCGUUUAUUUACUGUUGUUGUUGCUGUUGUUUUGAUGCAUGGAUAGUAGACAUCCCAAUUGCCAAAGCAUCUGAUUGAUUCAUGACAAGAAGUAAUAAUGUUAGGAAUUGGAAUCGGAGGAAGGGCGAGAUCUUAGGAAGGAAACGGUAAUAAUUGGUUGUGGAAUAUAAAUGUAAAUGUGGCUGGACUUUGACUCGUCUUCUAAGUUGCCUCUUCUUCCAUGUACCCAAUAUCCUAGUUAAUAGGUGGUGGUGACUGAAAGCAGCACAUCUCAACUGUUCAUUUAAUAGCCUGCUCCUCUUAGAAGGCUCAUGUCUAAAUUAACUGGUGGUUUCUAUUUUAGCUUUUAUUUUGUUUUAUUUUUUUAUUUUUUUAUUACUUCUUAUAUUCUUCAAGGAACAAAACUGAAAAUAUGCAUNNNNNNNNNNNNNNNNNNNNNNNNNNNNNNNNNNNNNNNNNNNNNNNNNNNNNNNNNNNNNNNNNNNNNNNNNNNNNNNNNNNNNNNNNNNNNNNNNNNNNNNNNNNNNNNNNNNNNNNNNNNNNNNNNNNNNNNNNNNNNNNNNNNNNNNNNNNNNNNNNNNNNNNNNNNNNNNNNNNNNNNNNNNNNNNNNNNNNNNNNNNNNNNNNNNNNNNNNNNNNNNNNNNNNNNNNNNNNNNNNNNNNNNNNNNNNNNNNNNNNNNNNNNNNNNNNNNNNNNNNNNNNNNNNNNNNNNNNNNNNNNNNNNNNNNNNNNNNNNNNNNNNNNNNNNNNNNNNNNNNNNNNNNNNNNNNNNNNNNNNNNNNNNNNNNNNNNNNNNNNNNNNNNNNNNNNNNNNNNNNNNNNNNNNNNNNNNNNNNNNNNNNNNNNNNNNNNNNNNNNNNNNNNNNNNNNNNNNNNNNNNNNNNNNNNNNNNNNNNNNNNNNNNNNNNNNNNNNNNNNNNNNNNNNNNNNNNNNNNNNNNNNNNNNNNNNNNNNNNNNNNNNNNNNNNNNNNNNNNNNNNNNNNNNNNNNNNNNNNNNNNNNNNNNNNNNNNNNNNNNNNNNNNNNNNNNNNNNNNNNNNNNNNNNNNNNNNNNNNNNNNNNNNNNNNNNNNNNNNNNNNNNNNNNNNNNNNNNNNNNNNNNNNNNNNNNNNNNNNNNNNNNNNNNNNNNNNNNNNNNNNNNNNNNNNNNNNNNNNNNNNNNNNNNNNNNNNNNNNNNNNNNNNNNNNNNNNNNNNNNNNNNNNNNNNNNNNNNNNNNNNNNNNNNNNNNNNNNNNNNNNNNNNNNNNNNNNNNNNNNNNNNNNNNNNNNNNNNNNNNNNNNNNNNNNNNNNNNNNNNNNNNNNNNNNNNNNNNNNNNNNNNNNNNNNNNNNNNNNNNNNNNNNNNNNNNNNNNNNNNNNNNNNNNNNNNNNNNNNNNNNNNNNNNNNNNNNNNNNNNNNNNNNNNNNNNNNNNNNNNNNNNNNNNNNNNNNNNNNNNNNNNNNNNNNNNNNNNNNNNNNNNNNNNNNNNNNNNNNNNNNNNNNNNNNNNNNNNNNNNNNNNNNNNNNNNNNNNNNNNNNNNNNNNNNNNNNNNNNNUCUUUAUUAAGAAAUAAAUCAACAACUAGAGGCUGUUUCCUAUAGUUACAGCUAGAGAGUUCUUCUUCUUCUUCUUAUUCUUCUUCUUCUUCUUCUUCUCCUUCUUCUUUCUUUUUUUUUUGGUCUGAAAACGGAUAUUUCAUACAGUACGGGUACGAAUACAUCCAAUAAAAUCAAAAUACAAAACCUCACGGAGUGCCAAUGGCAGCUCCGCCUCCCCUGACCAGAGGGCAUACUCCGAGUGGUGGGCCACAUGGCCAGCCACCCAAUCGGCUGUCCCAUUGGUCUCUCUGAAUAUAUGUUUGGCCAAAGUAAUCUCUCUCUCUCACUCAUCAUCAUAAUAUCGCGAAUCAAGGAAUAGUCUGUUUUGGAGUGGCCAGAGAGUUCUUUAGCCACAUAUUUGUAGUUUUUCUUGUGUACAGUCUAUUGGUCCCUUGGACAUGACCCACUUCCAAUUUAAAGCGGACCAAGAUUCGGUUGUCCGUAUUUGGUUGGGACCCAGAGCAUUAACUCUUCAUCAAAGGGACCANNNNNNNNNNNNNNNNNNNNUUCUAAAAUUGUUUGCGUACAAAAUGGGACAAGUAAUAUCACCCUGCAGCAAAUUUCAAUGAGAGAAGGAAGUAAAAAUUUUCAGUUUUAAGUUCACCUCACUCUCCAAAACGGGGAUUGUGGCCUGAAUCAUGAUUCGGCGAGGGAGAGGAGAGAAAGGCGAAGAGAACCAUGUAAAAAUUGUGAAAGCAAAGUGAUUACGGAGUAAAAUUUUAAUGGAUCCGUCCCUUAACUUGAACUCAUUUCCAUAACAGCCUUUUUUCAUAAAAGAUAAGUGGGACCAUAAUUUAUUAUGAAUGGGACAACAUAGUCCCCCUACAAUAAUGAUGAACUCCAUGAUAAAUACGAUGCCGAUCUUUUUCUGCUAUAAAAAUACAAACUUUCUCAAUAAUUUGCGUCUUCACUCCCCCUUGCUUCGUGCUAUAAUGGUAGAAAAGACUAAGAUUAUAACUGCCAUUUAAAUAUCAAGAAUAAACAAAUAUAGCUACUAUUUGAACGGCGGGUCAAUUUUAUCUGUUAGGUCUUAAAUUUUUUUUUUUAGGAGAAUUAACUCUACCCGUAACAACCCUCACUGAAACAUUCUUCCAUCAAAAAAUGCCCAAUACGGAUAAAUAAUACACGCAUAUUCUUUCCGACGCAUAUACUUUUCAACCCGUGGUUACCGAGUAGACCAUUUCAGUACUAUUUCAAUAUCAAUGAACCAAAAAUACUUUAAUCGAAUGCGGACAGAUAAAAAAUACCCGAUCCUCGACGUUUGGAUAUUUCAAAUUUGUACCGAAAUAAAGUUUCGUUUUAUCUGUGAUGCCAUCUCGGUGGUAGGUUUUAAAUGCCUUUCACAGAUAGAUGAACAUGCUGGAGUCGGAACGAGAAAAGAGAACUAAUACGUCAAAAUCCUUCAGACGACGUUCCAUGAUUGCCUUAAUUAUUUUUUUGCGCUACCACAAGCUCAUUCUUUAAAAAGUUUAACGAGACUAUGUGCCAAAUCUGAUCUACCUGAUGCAAUUACGCUAUCAACUUUACGUCCCUGUCCUUGGAUUUAAAACCUCUGCAGUGGGUAGGUGAUGGCACGAUUAUUUUAAGACGACCUGGCACACAUGAAAUUGUUACUCUGACCAGCCAUGAACAGCCAAACCACUCAGAACCUGCUUUAAUUGCUUUCACAUCAGUCAUUCAAAGCAUGCAACUCUAAUAACAAGAGGGAGUAAACAAGGAUACAGAAGGCAAAAACAAGAAGAAAAUACGAAUGGUUAAAGUUGCAAGUUUCAAAUGGUCUCAUAUGGUCUUCUACUAGUUUCGGUAAUCGCAAGUCCUAAGGGUAUUCCUUUCCACUUUGUCAACAGUUCAAAUCUUUAUGCUAGUGCCAUCAUUAUUGUACUUCUCAAAAAGUAAGAAAUACAUGUUAAAAAACUCAACCAUGAAUUCUCUUUGGAUUUGGUUGUCAAAUGUAAUUAGUAUGUCCAACAACCAUGAUUUGGAUAUAAAUACAGACUUUUAUUCUGUUGAAAAUUAAAAAAAAGAGCCUGUUAUUCAACAAAAACUCAUCCAAGACACAUGACUACAUGAGGCUAGGCCCAGUUUAUUUGGUUCCAUUUUAGUCCUUUUAUAACUGAUGCUGGGAAAGAGUUCGAAUCAUCAAUUAGUAUUUUCACUCAUUCCAUCCAAUAAAAAUCAUCCGUCAUCCACUAGAGCGGUCCCCAUUAAUUGGUAAGUACAGGUGACCUAAUUUGUCUAUCAACUUUAAAGGCAAAGUAUUUAAAACAUCUGCUUUGGAGCAGUGCUUGAUCAAUUCCUUUGGAAAUACUGGCGCACAUGAAAGUUAGAUCCGAUCAAAUCAUCAUGCCAUUGAGAUCCUUAUCAAUCGCUUUGAUACCAUCCAUUUAUUCAAGUAUUUGUUGUAACAAGUAAAUGAUGUCCAUUAGAUAGUUGCAUAGUUUAAAAAGAAGGGAAAAGUAGUCAAGAAUUAUGUCAAAAUGUGACGAUAAAAAAACAAUAACAACAUAUGGAAAUGAACGCAGAAGAAUCCGCAUGCUCACAAAUGUUGCCUCGGCAACUUCAAAAUCAUCCACCCCCCAUGCACUGCAGCAAAUUCCAGGAAUCACGCCAAAUCUCCUGUGCAAUGCUCUAAAAUUGUUUGCGUACAAAAUGGGACAAGUAAUAUCACCCUGCAGCAAAUUUCAAUGAGAGAAGGAAGUAAAAAUUUUCAGUUUUAAGUUCACCUCACUCUCCAAAACGGGGAUUGUGGUCUGAAUCAUGAUUCGGCGAGGGAGAGGAGAGAAAGGCGAAGAGAACCAUGUAAAAAUUGUGAAAGCAAAGUGAUUACGGAGUAAAAUUUUAAUGGAUCCGUCCCUUAUCUUGAACUCAUUUCCAUAACAGCCUUUUUUCAUAAAAGAUAAGUGGGACCAUAAUUUAUGAAUGGGACAACACAGUCCCCCUUCAAUAAUGAUGAACUCCAUAAUAAAUACGAUGUCGAUCUUUUUCUGCUAUAAAAAUACAAACUUUCUCAAUAAUUUGCGUCUUCACUCCCCCUUGCUUCGUGCUAUAAUGGUAGAAAAGACUAAGAUUAUAACUGCAGGUCGAUUAUAUCUGUUAGGUUUUAAAUAUUUUUUUUUUUAAAAAAAGAGGAGGAGAAUUAACUCUACCCGUAGCAAUACCAUUCUUCCAUCAAAAAAUGUCCGAUACAGAUAAAUAAUACACGCAUAUAUUUUUCGAUCCGUGAUUAUCUAUGUGAAUAGGCUAUUUCAGUACUAUUUCAGUACCGAAGAACCAAAAAUACUUCCACCAAAUGCGGACAGAUAGAAGGUAUCCGAUCCGCAUUUCAAAUUUGUACCGUACCGAUGGAAAUAAAGUUUCGUUUUAUCUGUGAUGCCAUCUCGGUGGUAGGUUUUAAAUGCCUUUCGCAGAUAGAUGAACAUGCUGGAGUCGGAACGAGAAAAGAGAACUAAUACGUCAAAAUCCUUCAGACGACAUUCCAUGAUUGCCUUAAUUAUUUUUUUGCGCUACCACAAGCUCAUUCUUUAAAAAGUUUAACGAGACUAUGUGCCAAAUCUGAUCUACCUGAUGCAAUUACGCCAUCAACUUUACGUCCCUGUCCUUGGAUUUAAAACCUCUGCAGUGGGUAGGUGAUGGCACGAUUAUUUUAAGACGACCUGGCACACAUGAAAUUGUUACUCUGACCAGCCAUGAACAGCCAAACCACUCAGAACCUGCUUUAAUUGCUUUCACAUCAGUCAUUCAAAGCAUGCAACUCUAAUAAUAAGAGGGAGUAAACAAGGAUACAGCAACAUUCAUAGAUGAUAACAGUGCUACAAAAAAGCAAUCUCAACAACUACGGGCGUUCACAACAAUGCAUGAAGACAGAAGGUAAGAAGAGCUGAUGGCGGACUGCUCUCACACUGUAAGCACAGCCUCUAACAGCUUCCACCUUAUUCUUAUCGGUCUCAUAUCCAGCAUCUUCUACUUAGCAAGCAAAGAGCAAGCUCAUUUCACCUUGAGAGCAAAUAAAUAAAUAAAUAAAAAGGUUACUCCCUCCAUAAACCUCUAAAUAUAACCUAACGGAAAACAUUCAUGACAUAUUUGUAUAUUCAAAUUCAUUUAUAAUAAUCAUUUCGUGAAUUCAGACCAUGGUUACUGAUGGCUUGGAUGCUUACUUAGAGCAAUCAGUGGAGGGGCUAAUGGAGUAGGGGAUGCGAACGCCACACUUGGCGGGAACUCCAGCAAUGAGACCAGUGUUGAGGCCGGAGAUACUCGCGGCAGCUCUCUUCAGACAGCUGCAGGCGGUCUGCCGGUCAGGGGUGCUCUUCGCCGCCGCCACGAGCCCUUUCACACCACUACAACAACCAGCGGGGAUCGGCCCGCCGUUGCGGGCGUAGGCAAUGCAUGGCGUCAAGAAAGACACCACCUGACCGCAGGUGAUGGCGUCCGCCAUGCGUGGCCCGGCCACCAGCAUCACCGCUAGAAGCGCAACCAAAACGAGGGGAGCACUGGAGCGAGCCAUGGCUUAGUAGUGUAAGAGCUCUCAGCUCUCGUAAUUUCUUUCUCAAAAUAGAGUUACUCGAAGGCUUUGAAACUGGUGGGCAGGAUGGAAGCGCAGGUGGGGUUAUAUAGGCGUGAAGGUGGGGAGGGAGUGCACCAAAAAUGGCGGGGAGUGAAGAGGGGUUGUUGGGAACUGGGACCGGAUGGUGGCUGGUUAGUUCUUGGGAAAGAGGGGAGAAAAUGAUCUACUGUGAAAAAUUAUGAGAAUGCAGUGAUAUGGGCUUCAAGUUAGGUGCCUAUUAAUAUUCUUGGACCAUAUCUGUUCUUGAAUUGUCGAGGUCAUUGAACUUAAGGCUUGGUUAAGUCAUAGAGUUCCGACGAUCAAAUUAAUAUGACUAUGGUAUGAAAUUGUAAUAGUUUUUUUCUAUAAAAAAAAACUACGGCAUGAAAUUAUAAUAGCUACCGGAAAUAGGGAACAUUAAAUCUUUUCUUCUCUUUUUCCUUUUUGUACAGAUUGAGGGUGUUGUUUUACUGAAAAAGUCUUAAUUUGGCCACUGCUCCAUGAACAUUAAAAAUAUUUAAAAUUUGUUAGGGAACGCUAUUUGAUUGCAAUGGAAAGCCUUGACAAAAAAAAAAUUAAAUAAAAAUAGGAGUUACACCAUGAACUUGGUAUUAAAACAAGUGCAUAAUGAAUAAAAAAUUAGAAAAAAAAAUCUAGAAUCUCUAGUUGUAGAUCUGAAAACCAUGAAGAAAAAAUUUUCUUACAAAAAUAUCUUUUCUACAAAAUUGAUUUUUAAAAAUAUAAUAUUUAAAAAAAUAAUUUUAGUUUGUUUGAUUGACCACAGGACUUCAUUGCUCAUGAAGUUUGCUUGCACAAAGAUUGAAUGAUUUGAUUGAAAGAAAUAAAUGGAAAUACAAAGAAAGAGUGCAACAAGCACAGAUAAUCCCAAGCAUAGCAUGGUCGAGCAAAUUCCGCAACAACUAGACCCUAGUUGAAGAAAUUCAUGCUACUCUUGUCCAAAGUAAUUUAUCUUCAAGUCCAAAUUUCAGUUAUUGAACUUAGUUAGAUAUGCCAUCAUAAAUGCCUUUGUUUCUACUUUUGAUCAUGGUUAAGUUUUCCAACGCCCUUAAAUUAGGUAUUGCUAGGAGAGAAUUUUCUUCUUUAGGCAAAGACGGUCAUAUUGUUAUAACAUUAUUAUAAAUACAGAAACCGCAUGCCUCCAAAAUAGCUAUGCCUGAUUGGCUAAGUGUGGCCAAAGGACCCAUCUUCAGGAAUCCUAUUGCGAUCAUUUUUUCUUUCUUACUUGUUUGGUUGUUGAAGUUAUACGUUUAUACCUUUAAUCUUGCAAAUCACAAAAAGUUCAACCACCUUAUCAUCCCAUUGUUGCUUUCGUUCAGUUUGCUCAUCCUAAUAGUUAGGUUAGGUUAGACUUGGAGUAUUGGACAAUGUGGGGACAUGAAAGGACUCAAAUCCAUUCAGACAGCAUACAUAUGGUAGGUAUCAUUAAUUUCUCGAUGAAUAGGCCGGUGGAGAUCCAACAAAAAUUAUCUUUUAUUAUAAUGAACAUUGCUUGGUUAGCCAUCAGUUGUGAAGUGAUUGUAUAGGAAAAUCAUCUAGCUUUUGGCUUUGCAAAAUAAUUAUUUUUUAUUUUGCAUAAUAAUGUAUAUUUUAAAUAAUUAUCUUAAAUUUUGUCCCUUGAAUCACAAAUUUAAAUAAAUAUCUGAUGCAUAUUUUACAUAUUUAAUAUAUAUACAUAAACACACCAACGAAAUUUAGGACUAAACCGUUGAGAGAUCACUAAACACUUGUCAUUCUGAAAAAUUAGAGUAAUAUAAAUCUGAACUUUUAUUUUAGAAUAUAUAAUUAAGUAGAUUUUUCAUAUGAUAUCUUCUUCACUGAAUGAUAAUGAAAACUAAAGUCGGUUGCCAUUAACCAUACUUCGAGGUUUCAGUUGCCAUCGAUACCUUCCAUAAGGAAAUGGAUAGAAAAGAACGAGUUACGACUGUUGUCCGGUGGAUCGUUCACCGAGAAUUUUUCUUUUUUAAAAAAAUUCGGCAUUUCAGAUAGUUUUUAAUUUUUCUUUUUUUAAAAAAUUCGGCAUUUCAGAUAGUUUUUAAAUAGGUACAGUCAAUCAAGCCAAAAGAAAAAAAAGGUGGUAUAAAAAAAAAUAUCAGCAGCCCUGGUUUAGAUAAUUUUUUUAGUUUACCGAGCAAAAAAAAAAAGAUAAUUUAGCUAUUGGUAGAAAACUAUUAACUAAAAUGACAAAGAUGGAAGGAUUUAUUCUACACCAGACAUGUACUUGGCGUCGAGCGGGUGCACCUUGAAGGAGACUCUACGGUGGUGAUCGAUUGGAUCCGGAGGGCGGACAGGUAUGGUGAUGGUCACCUCCUUAUUCGGAAGAUCCGCAGGAUGGCUCAACUGAUGAGCAGAUUUCAGGCGGAUCAUGUGUUUAGCGAGGCGAACAGGGUCGCAGACUGGAUCGUCUCUUUCGUAGCCCAGCAUUUCGGGGAUUUUUUUUGGACGUCUGCUUCAGAUGCUUCUUUUACUUUGUUGUCUUUCCGUGACGUAGCUGGUUGUACUAAUGUUGGACCUAUGUGGAUGGGUAGCUAAAAAAUAAAAAUAAAAAAGAAUAGAAAAGGAAAAAAAAAAGAAUAGGGGAAGAGAGAGACUCAAACGAGCUUUCACCGUGUGGCAAUCCGGCCAAAUGGGAAUUUAUUGGAGGCCUGUUUACCUUAGCAAACAGAAAAAAAAAAAAAAGGGCCUGUUUGCCUUGGAAAAUAUCUCGCCCUCACCUCACCAACCCACCCUGCGGGAGAGGUUUUAUUAAAUGCCAAGGGAAAGACCGACGCCGACCCAACUGCACCCAUUUAAUGCGAUGGCAGCGACCUCCUAAACUAACCUGAUAGGUCCCUGUCAACCCAUUCAAUGCACCCGAACCGGCCUGGCCGACGCCGUUCGGCUCUCGAGCGCGACGCGCGGCUGCAUGAUCUCUGACAUCAUACGGUCCGGAUUUUGCCUCGUCCUCUGUGUCAGUCACGUGGGACGUAGAUGCUGUGGGCUUAUGAUCGCCGGACACAAGGCUUCACGUGGAACGUAGGGGAGUUGAAGGAAAGAUGUGGACUUAUUAUUAUCCUAGUAAGUUCACUUUCACGUAUCAAUCACAAAUAUCAAACACAUCAAAUGUAAAUAAAUAAUAUAUAUAUAAAAAUCAGAUCGAUCUGGGUUUGAAUCAGGUUUUAAUCCUCAAGUCCUAUUAUUAAACGGGUCUAUAUUUUGGACCCGGCCCGACCUAACGGGUCUAAACCCCAAACCUUCAGCCUGAGCCCGUCCAGCCCAUGAACAGGCCUUAUGGUGGCGACCAUCUUGGGCUAACAACUUUUCCAACCCAGUUCCACGUCUUGUUGGGCUGUACAAAAUUAAAAUGCUUCUCGUGAGCCUUGUCCUCCCUCGUAUUGUUUGUUGCGCGUGCUGUGUGAGAGUGAAAUAAAUACUGUGAUUUAUUUGUAAAUUACCUAGGUUGGUUCAAAAAACAUAAUACAAAUCACAAAUAUUUAAUAAUGCUCUAUGCUGCUGGUGGCAUAUUUUCUAUUGCUUUUUAGUUCAUGCCUCUUCCAUGUUUAUCUCUAUAAUAAAUAAAUAUACUUUUUUUAUAGUAACUUGGAUGAUUUUAAUUAAGCAAGUAUAAAUGCAUCCGUAGGAAUCAAAAAAUAAAAUAUCAAAAAGUUGAGUAGGAGGAUUUGCCGAUGAAACCCAUAAUGAAGAUCCCAUUUGGUUUGCCACAUAAAAUGUUAUCCAAUCAGCUACACUGUUAAUUUCUCUAUAAAUAUGCAAAAUCUCAAUUGAUAGCGGUAAGCACAUCAUUGACUAACAACUCUGUAAAAGUGGAUGAAGUCUUCUAUCAGUAGGAGGUGGAUCAAAAAAGUAUCUAAUACCUAUCAUAGAGUCUUCUUCUAAAUAAAUAUUUGAAGCUCUUAAUGUGUAUAUAGCGUAAUUCAAACCUUCUCAAGCUGCACGUAACUCCGUCAUUAGAAUUGUAGUAUCAAAAAUUUUAACACCACCUACAGCUAGUAGUACACCACUGCCAUUUUAUAUAAUAAGCCUGCUCUGCCAAAAGCACCUUUCUCCACCGCACUCCCAUCAAAAUUGUCCUUGAGGUAACAUGAGAAUGGUGGCCCUCAAGAAAUGUAACUUAACUAUGAGGACAUAGAAAUUGCAUAGGGAGAGCCAUCGAUUGUCCCUAUCAUCAAAGAUUCCUUUGCAACAGUCACUUGAAGAAAUUCAAGAGCUUAGAAUGAGGCUUUUAAUAGAAUUAAAAUAGCACUUUGCCUCAUAUAUUGGAAGAUAUGAUCAUUCCUAGCCAACUAGAUACCAUAAGUAAUAUAACAAAUCAAAAUUGCUUCCUCCAUUCUACCGUUACUAAAACAUCUCUCUCUGAUAGUGUGUAGAAAAUCAUCAACAAAAAAAGAUGAGACCGGAGUGGGGCUUGCCGCUAAACUUGAGAUGCUACAAGACAUUGAAGUAUAAUAUGAGAUAAGGACUCCUCAACAUUUGCACACAUAUCACAAUGGCUUGGUACAUGACAACUAUGCUAAUGUAAUACAACUCUACAUGAUAGUCGGUGCCAGGCUAAUUUCCACAUAAAUAAAGCAACUCUAAGAUGAACUCCUAUCAUCCAGACCCAAGCAAUUUUUGUACCGGCACCAAUAAAAGAAAAGAUAAUUAACAUCAAAUAUGCUACGCUCUUGGAUUUUGUAUUAAGUUUCUAUAUAUCUUAAUUCUUUCCAAAUAUUUGAAAAUUCUUUCCCAGUCACUGUUAUUAUUCUUUGCUUGAGUUCUUCUCAAAUGCUAAACCCAUAGCCAUGAAUGAGAAGUAGCUAGAAAUUUAGAUUAAGCCAAGUAAGAAUAUAUGCAACUCCAUUUGACUGUAACUUUGUUUUUCACUUUUGUAGAAGAAGAUGGUCAAAAACCAUCAGGCUUUAUUACUAUAAUUAAGUAUUGCAUAAACAUCCUUUAAUAUAUGUGAUUGCAAGUUCGAACCUCUGCUUGCCAGGCCUGGUUCCAACAUAAUACCUGCAAACGUAACGUCGAAGUUAAUCAUUACAAGAAACGCCCUUGUUGCAGAUCAACAAGAUUUUAGUCUUAGGUACUUGUUAUGUAUACAUAUAUAAGCGUCACUUCUACCUCAAAUGCGGACGUCCGCGUAUACUUUUUAUGCCGACCUACCUCCGCACGAAAACUGCGAGCGCUUUGUAUGGGUUCAUCGACGAGGAAACGGGUAUGGAUGUCCUCAUAUAACGUUUAUAUGCGGAUUUAUUUAUCCGCAGAUGAAGUUUAUGUAAAUGUCCGCACUUGACCAUAUUUUAUUAACGAGCGGAACGGUAUUUGGUUUCAAGUGGCGAUCCCCGCCACGGCCCUACCCCAUGAUCUCCGGCGGGGGGAGCCCGACGAGGACGCUCGCGGCGCCUUCGCCCUGCUACCCUUCCCACGCGCCGCUCCUAGCCUAGUCCGGCGACGCCGGCGACCACCACCUCGCCAUGGCCUCCGCUGGGGAGGUGUUUCUUGACAGGCCCGAAGCCCCAGGUUCGUUCCUCCUUUCCUCCUUUUCUUGUACUCCGAAAACUAUAUCCUUCUCUCUUGGCUAUUAGGGUUUAGAUAUUUCCUGUCUUUAUCGUCUUAUAUGAUGUCUAGUCCCUAAUGCGGGGAGGGUGAAACCCUAAUUUGAAUUUUGGUGCCAUCCAUGCUAUAGGAAUGUGGUAUUUAGUGGUUCGUUUUUAACAGGGUAGAGUUGUUGUUUGUUUUUUAGGGUUUUGGGGGGAUCUUGAUGCAUGAUGCCUUUUGGUUUAUAUGGAAGUCAUUUGAUGCUCUAUCCUUCAAGAUAAUCUGGAUUAUCUAGUUUAAUUUGGUCUUUCCUUCUUGUGUUUCUUUGAUUGUUUAGCAGAGGAUUUUUUUUUGUUUUUUUUAAUGAAAGUGGGAGGCAAAAUGCCACCCUGUUUAACAUAGGAAUUAUAGUGCUCUCCAUUUUUCUUUUUAUACCGACAACCCUUUGUAGAGAAUAGUUAAUGAGAAGUUUUAGAAGGAAUGAGAUGCCAUUUAAAUAAUAUGAACACAGAUUAGUAUCCUAAGGCAAUGAGGAUGAGAUAUGCGCAGCUUCAUCCAAGGGACAAUUGUCUAGAAAGCACCAAGAAUUAUGAGGCUAGGGGUGUAGGAAAUGUUAAAGAUCUAACUGGUGACUGAUCUUUAUCUCAUGUACUGGACAAAAAAAAAAGCUUCACAUGCCACUGCAAGGGUUUUUGUUUUUAACUUUUUAAGACAGUCUCAAGAUCUUUUUCCUGGUGUAGAGAUAUCUGUAUAUGUUGAGGCUAGCAGAUAGCAAGCAUUCAAUAAAUGGAUUACACAUUUGGACCUAAUUUCACAUCUUGGUAUUGGGUGGGUAUGGAAUUUUGGGUUACAUGUGUGAGAGAUUUUGGAAUGUAAACUUAGGUUUUCUCAAGGAGGAAUUAUAAUUGUAUUUAGGGAAAGGAUGAUAACUGUAGUAUGCACUUUUAGUAGAAUCAAAAAAUAAUUUUGCCUUGGGAUUCCGAUAGCCUGUUGCGAACAAAUAAUAUUGCUUCCUCAAUUUGUGACCACUUAGGGAGGUUUAGCAUAUUAUGGGGCAUGCCUUUUUGAACAGACAGCUCUCUCCCGUAUAAUUUUCUCACUUUACAAUUGAGGGGAAAGGAAAAACUCCCACCUCCUAAAGUUCAGGGCUUACUGCAGCGAGUAUAUUUGCAUAUAUUUUGGGCUCAGUGCUCUGAAUAAAAUUAUUUUAUUGUUUUGAUUUAUCACUAUGUUCCACCAGCCAUGCCUACAUCAAAUACUUCCUAUAUGAAAAUCGACAUCAUGGAUGAAAAUCGCAGUCAUUUCUUGGUCCAACCUAAACAUGGAGAAAUGAUUCUAUUGUAAGGAGGGAGUAAUGGUUAAAUUAUUCAAACCAAUUCUUAAUGUUCGAAACAACUGUUACCUUAUCGGGCUCAUUGAUUGAAAAAUUUGUUUUGUGGCAUGGGAGCCCGAGUGUUUGUGCAUAGGACUAAUGCUAACGAACUGAAUUAUUCAAAAUUUAUCCUCAUGAAAACAUUUUUUUUACUAUUCUGGUAGUGGGUGGUCUCUUUAACUGUUUUUAUCCUUGAUUAUCCACUAAAAAUGCCAGUAGGGAAUAUUCAGUCAUAUGUUAUUGAGCUUCUUUUUUCUCUAUGUUUUUUUUCUUUGUGUAGAUUGCAAUAUGAUGGAUUUCCCCCUACUCAUAAUAGAAUGUUGCUUUUAGUGGGGAAUGUUUUUGGUAGUUGAUUUUUGUUGCUUAAAUCAUGAAUUAUUUCGACUGAUUGGUUGGUACAUUGCGUAAAAUUUUCAAUUAAUGUUUCAAUUGGCAGUAUUGCUCUUCUUUAAGCAGGGCCAACAUAGACAUUCAUAGUUCAGGAAAACCUUGUGGUUACUAGGAAAUAUUUUAGCAAGGUAUUGAACUAUAUUUUGUUCAAUAAAUUAAAUGGUGUGUCCUAGUGCAUUCUCUGUUGCUUGUUGGAAUUUUUAUUGGAUUACCUAAAUUUUUCUCUUGCAUUUUAGUUGCUAAUUAUCAUUUAACAUUUUACUACCGGAAUGAUUCAGCAUUUCAAUGUAGGAUUGAGGUAUAUAAGAAAAUAGACUUUAUUUGAUUUUAAAUAUUGCCAUUUUAUUUAAUUUGAGAUGCUAGUAUCAAUUGAUUUUUCACUAUUUGAUGCGUUAUUUUAUUUCAUUAAAAAUGCGACCGGCGAUGAAUUUGUUUAUAAGAAGAGGUAAAGCACGGAACACUCAUUGAUGUAACAGAUAUCUUAUAAGUCAUCCCUUGAGGCUAUUGUUUUAGUUAUUGAUAGAUUAAUGACAGAAACAAAAAUAAAUAAUUGUUUAUGUUAGAUGAGGGCUAAAGACAAAAAAUUUAACAUGUUAGUAUAGCAUACAAUAAAGUUGGCAUUCUAUCUGAUGAGGUAAGGAAAUAAAAAACAAGCAAGACUAUUAAAAGAAAAGCAAUAAGAGAGCAAUAAAUGGAGAAAAAAGCCACUACAGUUAGAUUCAUUUAUUUUUUGUUUUUACCUUCCCUAUUUGUUUCUUUGUGUUUUGAUUUCUAUUUUUUUGUGAGAAAGAGAGAAAAUAUGGGAGGCCCCCACCCGCAUUGUGAUAACCUAGAUCCCAAUACCUAUGGAUGCAACAUCCAAGAUUGAAAUCCAAAACCUCUGGUUGCUGGGCAGAUGAGUAAGGAAAAUGCUCCGGUCCUUUUUUUUCGGUGUAAUUUCUUGCUUAAAUUUUUGGUCAUGUUAUAUAUAUGAUGAUUAGAAACAUGGACAAAGAAGUGGGUUUGCUCUAAUUAUAAUGAGAGUAGUUUAGAUUGUAAGUUUGGAGAUUGAUGUUUCUUGCUUUAAUUUAUUUAAGUCUGGUAAUUAUUUGUAUUGUAAGUGGAACUUUAGAUAUUAAAGCUAUAGUGGAUUCAUUGUACUAACAAUAUUAGGUUUACUUGUUGGUUCAAAAGAUCUUAGCACUUAAUGCUCAUCUUGACAAGAAGUUUUCUAUGAUGGUGAUAAGCUACUAAUACAUCCCAGGACAUGGUUCAUUGAAUUCUAGAUUAUGUGGUCCAUUUUUGGAGGUUUACACUAAUAGGAUGGCAACCAUUUUGGGUUGUUAUAAAAGAUACUAAGCACCAAAGGACCUAUACACGACAAUCACCUAUGUUAUUCUAUUCUUGUAUAAUUUUUGGGUUAUAAUAUAAGUGAUUAAUCUGGGACACUAUUUAACUUUAUGCUUUACUAGAUAAUUAUUGUGUUCCAUACAAUCAAAUUCUUAAUUUUGUUAGUUUGUUUGAAAAGAUAACAUAGCACAAAAGAGAGAGGGUCAAGAGGCUUAAUGAGGAGGUUCCUGAGGCCCUUAGAAUUAAACUAGGCAAAUGAUGGGUCUCUGGAAUGAUUUGGCAUGGGGAAUUUUUCUCAGAUUUUCUUGAACUUUUUUUCUGAAAUUUGGAGAUGUAUCCUUAAGAUUGAAGAAGACUAGCUGGAGAAAAUCCAACUAAACAAGUCCAACCCACCAGCAAAAUGAAAGGCUGAUACACAGAGAAGUCUGUAGCUUCACAAGAGGGGAUAGGAGUGCCACAAAAGCAGAGCUACCUAAUAUGAAUCUGAUCAUGAGCUCAAUAUCUUUGUAUCAUUUCGCGACAAUAAGAAUUACUUUUGGUGGCAAAAUUGCUUGUGGCAUUUCUUAUUAUAUACCAUUAAAAAUCUUUUUUUGCGCCAUUAUUGUAUAAAUGCCACUAUAUUCCAAUAAAUAUUUUUUUGUUAGUGGUAGUUUAUUUUAAAUACCACUAUAAAUUUGUAUUCUAUGGCAUAUAAUUUGAAGUGUUGGAAACUGGAACUGCUAUUAUGCUAUUUAACUAAUAUGCCAGUAAAUAAUACUAUAAUUUGUAGGAUUUUGGAAGCUUGCCCCUAAAUCUUAAAUUGUUAAUUUUUUUUACAGAGCUUGAGUUUGGUAACACUAAAGCCAUCAAAUACCUUAUUGUACACUUUGUGGUGGCCGUCGAAUCCCUCAUAUUUGGAACCUUUAUGCAUUGAAAAUAUUUACAACAAAUUUGCAUAUCUUCUUAGAUCACUAUUUCGAUCGAACUUACGUUAGAAUAUUAAAAAUAAAUUAUUAUUUAAGAUAAAAAAUAUGAUAUAAAAAUAUUAAUAUUUUUUAAUCAAAAUUAUUAUUAUUAUUUAUUAUAGCAUGAAUAAAAAUAAUUAUGAACUAAUUAUUCUUAAAGAGUUUGCAAAAAAUUAUAUAUGAAUAUAGUGACACAUAAAGUUAAUUUUUAAAUAUUUUAACAAUAAAACUUUGAAAAUAUCAUAAAAAUAAAAUAAAGUAAAUUUAUUUUUUAUUUUUGUAAAAAAUAAAAAAAUAAGAUAAUGAUUAAAAUAUGAAAUAUUAAAAUGUAUGCAAAAUAAUUAUUUAAUGAUAUAAAUACAUGUUAAUAAGUUAAAUAAAUUAUUUUUAUGUAUUAAUAAUAUAAGUCAUAGCUCAGUGGAUACGAGCAAAAUAAUGGUAUUUGAAAAUGCCGCUAUAACAGUUUUUGUUGUGGUGUUUCCCAGUUCUUGGAACUAUGAUUCUAAUAGGCCAACAAGGCCGUUAAAUCGUAUGGAUCAGUCUUUUCAUUUGGCAGGAGGCAUGAUGCGAGAAAAGACAUUAACACAGGCUUGGAGUCCUUUUUUUUUUUUUGGUAAAAACGGCAGUUCAUAUAACUCUAACUUGAGUACAUCCAGCCAUAUCAAAAGAAGUAAAGAGAACAACGAAAUGGGACUAUCAGCUGCUGAUGUCCAAAGAAACUCUCCGGAGUGCCUGGCAACGUAGGAGGCGACCCAGUCAGUAGCUCUGUUCGCCUCCCGGUACACAUGUGUAGCAUGAGAGUCACCCAUCUCCUGAACCAGUCUCCUAGUCUUAUGAAUGAGUGGAUGACCGUCACCGAAUCUGUCCACCCCCUGGAUCCAAUCGAUCACCACCGAAGAGUCUCCCUCGAGAUGCACCCGGACGGCGCCGAGGACCCUCCUCGCGUAGGAUAAGCCCUCCCAAGCAGCCCUCAGCUCUGCUCCAACAACGGUAAGCCCUGGUAUGCGACGGCCACUAGCGGCUAUCAAUCUGCCCCUUCCGUCUCUGAUCACAAAUCCCACACCUCCAGAGACACCAUCCACCGACCGACUACCAUCAAAAUUCACCUUGAGAUGACCAAGGGGUGGGGGUACCCAAGAAACAAGGGCGAACCUGGGCGCUGUAGCAGCGGAAAGAGUACCCCAGAUAUCCCUAGCCAUCCCAGAAGUGAACCACGCAGUAGCCGCGGUAAUCUCCCCUGCAUGUAGCAUAGCUCGAUCCACCACCAUCCUCGAGGACCACCUCCUACCCUUAAAUAGACCAGCAUUCCUAUCCAGCCAAAUAUGAUAAGUCAAGUGUGCCAUCAUGAUGCCCGCCUCAACAGAACAAGGGCUCCGCAUAGAGGCUCUCAACACGUGCAUCAGAUCCUGAACCGACUCCAUCGAAUGGGGUAACAGAACAGGAGACCUGCUCCAUAUCUCUCUAGCCCUGGGACACUGCAAUAGAACAUGGUCAAUGGUCUCCUCGAUACCUGAACACCGAUCACAGCACUGAGAAAUCCGCAUGCCCCGUCCGGCUAGCAUACCCCUGGUCGGUAGGCAUCCCCAUGCCACCUUCCAGAGGAAGAGCGCCACCCGCGGAUGACACCGUAACCGCCAUAUCCAUCUGCCCUCAAUCUGCCGGUCUGACACCCUACUGGUCAAAGUGUGGAGAUCCCUGGCUCGCACCUGCGCUCGGCCCGUCGGCCACCAGACUAACCUAUCUGGCACCUCCUGCAUAGGAAUCGGAAGGUCCAUGAUCAUCACUGCCAGCUGUUCUCCAAACACCUCCCGAAUCAAUCCCUCCCUCCAGCAGCCCCCCUCUGGGUCCAUCAAAUCACUAACCCUAAAUCCAGCGAUCCUCGCCGAGUCCACCAAGGUUGGAAGACGGCUGAUCGGCUGCUCAGUCACCCACCUGUCCUCCAAAACAUCUAUAGACCGCCCAUCUCCAAUGGCCCAUCUCAUCUCUGGUAGCACCAACGCAGCCCUAGCACACAUCUCCCUCCACACCUGAGAAUGGAAGCGGCCUCCACGCACUCCAGAUAUCAGAGCUCCAUAUUUGGCCCUCAUCAACGAGGACCACAUGCUGUCAGGCUCUAGCACAAACCUCGCUGCAUGUCGAGCCGCUAAAGCCUCCCGCCUAGCCAUCAGAGACAGCACCCCCAACCCACCGAACAUGAUCGGCUGACACACCACCUCCCAUGCCACCAAGUGGACACCACCUCUGCCCCUGCUCCUUCCCCAUAUAAAGUUUCUAAAAGUCUGCUCAAGGGUCCUCACAAGAGACACCGGAAUAAAGGAAUUGGACAAUAGAUAGAUGGGAAUCGAAGAAAGAACUGACCGAACCAAUGUGAUCCUCCCCAUCAUGGAAAGAGUAUGCAUAUGCCAUCCCUCCAGUCUGUGUCUGAUACUGAGCUCGAGUGAUGAGCAGUCCCUGCUCCGCAGCCGCUGGUCAGAGAUCGGAACCCCCAAGUACCUCAACAUACCCUCCUGCUCACCCACCCCCAAAAUCUCCAAGAUAGAGUUCCUCACUGCCGGCCUGAUCCUCGGGCUAAAACAUACAUUAGACUUCCCCAGAUUAACUCUGUCUUGAAACCUCGCAAUAGUGGCAAAGGAUCCUGCGAAGGACCUCCGCGGUCCACCUCGUAGCCCGGGCAAGCAAUAAACAAUCAUCGGCAAAAAGAAGGUGAGACAAUGAAGGAGCUCCCUCCGCCGAUCUAUAAACCUCCAUCUCCUGAGUGACCAUCGCCUGUCUGAGAGCUCUAGACAACGCAUCCGCACACAUAAUAAACAAAAGUGGUGAGAGGGGGCAUCCCUGUCGAAGUCCUCCGGCAGACUCAAAAAAAGGGGAUGGCGAGCCAUUCACCAUGUGAGGGAGCCCUCACACAUCCCAUAACCCAGCUAAUCCAUAUCUCGAGAAAGCCAAACCCCUGCAUGGAUCGCUGCAGAAAAUCCCAACUCAUCCUGUCGUAGGCCCUCUCCAUAUCGAGCUUGAUCCCCAUCAAACUCCUCCUCAUCGGAGCUCUAUGCAGAUCGAACAUAAACUCCUGGGCAAUCAUCACAUUAUCUGAAAUACUCUGCCCUCUCAGAAAAGUACCCUGCUCCGGACUGAUCAACCUCGGAAGAAUCUCCCUCAACCUAACAGCAAGUAUCUUCGCCGUCGCCUUGUACAAGGUCGUGCACAGGCUAAUCGGACGAAAAUGGCCUGGCUCCGUGGCGUCCUGCCGUUUCGGUAUCAAUGUGAUAAAGGUCCACUGCCACUCAGUAGGCAUCGCAGAUGUACCAAAGAACUGCUGUAUGGCCGCCGUCACAUCAUGUCCGACUAUCAUUCAGUACCUCUGAAAAAAUAACGGAGAAAAACCAUCUGGCCCCGGAGCCUUAUCCCCCUCAAGGGACCAGACCGCCUCCCUAACCUCCCUCUCCAAUACCGGCCUGAUCAACGCUGCAGUCUCCUCCUUCGACACCCCGACCAAAGGCGCCGGUAUGUCCUCUGAGCUCCCACCCCCUAACUGCUCGGUCCACCGAGUCCUAAAAAAGCUCUCCACAAUCCGACUAAUCUAAAUGGGAUCCUCCGUCACCUGCCCAUCCUCACCCCUGAUGGCUCUGACCCUGUUCUGGUGCCUCCUGAUAACUGUCGCUUGAUGAAAAUAUCUGGUGUUCCGAUCUCCCUCCAAUAUCCACUGUAUUCUAGACUUCUGUCUCCAAAAUAUCUCAUGCUGUCUAAGCAAAGAGUUAUGCAGUGCCAAGUGAGAUCUAAGCUCCCCCACCUCCUCCUCCGAUAAGCCCCCUCCCUGGGCCUCCUGAAGCUGUAGCCUCGUGAUCGCCCCCUCUAGGUCCUCCACCCUCCUAAAGAUGUUCCCCACCUCCUCACGGUUCCACCUCCGAAGCCGUCUCCUCGUCAUCUCCAGUCUACGAGAUACUCGGUACAUAGCAUCUCCCCUAACAGGUACCCUCCAAGCCUCCCACACUAUCUCCCAGGAUCGAGAAUAACUGAGCCAGAUCUUCUCGAACCUGAAAGGGGAGCGGGCUAGUACAGGUGCAUCAGUGCUCACCAAUAGUGGGCAGUGGUCCGAUGCAAUCCUAGGCAGAUGACUGACCUGGUAAUCCGAAAAACAUUGGAUCCACCCAGCAGUAGCACAGGCUCUAUCUAGCCGCUCCCAUACUCUGGCCUGUCCCUGCUGAUUAUUACACCAUGUGAACUUUGGGCCAGAAAAACCCAAGUCAACCAAACCAUUCAUCAUAAGGAAGUCCUGGAACUCCUUAAUUUUCCUCUCACAAGAAAAAGGCUUCCCCCCAUCUUCUCCUGAGGGUCAACUAUGCAGUUAAAAUCACCUGCCACCUGCCAACAACAUUGGAUAUCCCUGACUAAUCAACUGAGUGGCCUCCACCCACAAGAUCCGCCUCAUCCUAUACUCUGUGCUUGCUACACCGCUGCCAAGACCCACGGACUUCUAUUCCCUUCCGAGAUAACCAUGAUUACCUCUUGGUUACAGACAUUGAAUAUAUCCAAUUGACAACACCCCUGAGCCCAAGUGACAAUGAUACCGCCGGAUAGCCCCUGAGAUUCUACUGCGUAGAAACCCCACCCUCUCGGCACUGCCCUCCUUGCCUUCUCAAGGCUCCUUCCGGAUAACCGGGUCUCGAGAAGGACACAAAUAUCAGGACUGUAAUGGUGCACCAACCUACGAAAUGCCGGGGUAAAAGACGGCUUCCCCGCUCCACGACAAUUCCAUAAGAGAAUCUUCAUAAAUCACCCGACAAAUUGACGUGGCCCACUUCCCCGGGGCCACUACUACAGGCUGCCUCAACAUCCAGCUGCUCUUCCCUCACGAAGACCUCGGAACUCACCCCCUUGACAGAGGCCAUCAGUUGGAACACAACCUGCUUGUGCUUCCCCUUGUUGUCUGCCUGAGCCACAGCCACAGAACCAGACUCCUUGGCAUCUCCCAACAGGUCUCCGACACCCAAGAAGCUACCAUCAUCCUUGAACUCCCCCCCUGAAAGAGGUUGGCCGCAAGGUUAGGGUCACUGUUGGCCCGUGCCAAAUGGCACGCUCUGCCAACAGGGUCUUCCCCAAUUUCCCCUGCAGUCGUUCCCACCAAGCCAGCAACAGGAUCGACCUCCAUCCCUCGAUCCCCCACUACCUGCUCCAAGGAUGCACCAGUCGUCGCCACCGGCCCCAGCUCCGCCAAGUCCACCGCCGCUACCGAGGUUGUCCGCGUCGUCUUCCGCCCGAGCGUCGCCCCACCUCCAGCACGAAGCACCCCCCUACUCCACGGAGCUCCGGGUCCACCCUAGGGGGCCGAUUGCGUGCCGCUGACUGAGGCGGAGGCGAGCUCCGGCUCCUCUAGCGUCGGAGACCCUCCGACCUCCUCGAGAGCACCGUUGGUGGUCGCUGCCCCCCACCGAGCUGGGCCCGGCCUCCCACAGGAGCUCUCGACCGCCUCAGAGGGCUUGGGCCCGGCCCUCCGGCACGAAACAAAGUCUCCCGCUUGGGCCCUUCAGCCUGGCCCGUUGAAGAGCUGGCCCCACUCGAACCCGGCUUAUUCCCCGACUCGGUCCGCGACUCAGAGCGACGACCGAGUUGACUCCUUUCAAGCUGAAGCAGAACAGUUUAGCCUGUGACAUUUGAUCAUAUUAUUGCCUUUACUGUGCCUAUCAAACUGCAGACACUUCAAUGUGUNNNNNNNNNNNNNNNNNNNNNNNNNNNNNNNNNNNNNNNNNNNNNNNNNNNNNNNNNNNNNNNNNNNNNNNNNNNNNNNNNNNNNNNNNNNNNNNNCCAAUGUUCAUGCCACCAAAAAGCUUUAAAAACUAGAUUCUUGCUUUCUUUCAGUAUUGAGUUUAUAAUGGCCUUUGUGCUGAUUUAACAGAAUAUUCACUACAUUUCUAAACUUAAUAUUUUAUUUUAUUUAUAUACUUUUUAUAUAAAUAUAUUUACUUUUUAUGUUGGGUAAGUUCGCUGAGAAUUCGUGGUGUUAAACUAGAACUUGAAGAGUAGUAAUACAUGUUGAGAAUUGAAUGUAACAAGCUUUGAUGAACCAUAACUUGAAAAAUAUAUGGAAAUUUUGAGUAAAAUCAAUUUAUAUGAAAGAAGACUUUAGAGAUUCGAAAUGGUCAUUAAUUUUGGCAUAUCUGACUUAAAAUGAUUUGAGCUAUACGUUUUUGAAGCUGGGCCUGCUGUGUAGACCUGCUCUAGAAGGUUAUAGCAGGUUAACAUGAAUUUUUAGAUUCAGAGAAAUCUUAUGAAACCCCAUUACUCGGUGUAAUAGGAAAUCCCGUUACGCUGGAAAGAAAAUAGAGAGAUGCGCGGCUAUCAAAAAAGAAAGAAAGAAUGAAAAGGGAACAAGGGUUGGAAAGAGUUCAAGGAAAAGAACAAAAUCUUGGUUCUUGGAAGAAGAAAAUCAUGUAAAGGGCUUCCUUGAUUGAGAUAUGCACUGUUUCGUAAUAUAUUGAGGAGAUUUUUUUUUCGAAUUUAUUUAGGAAAAAAGGGUUACGUUCAAUUUAUUCGAUGAAUCUUUGUCUUGGUUGGCUUUAGAGUUUGAUUUUCACCAUGAUUUUUUUGUAUUUAUUUAUGAAAAAUAUAGAACUUCAAAUAUGGAAAAUAUAAAUAUUUAAUUCUCUUUUAAGGGAUUAUUUCAUACUUAUUUUGGUGUAGCUACUUUGUAGGGUAGUUUACAUAAAGGUUAAAUUAGGAAAUUUCUUACCCACGCUGGACAGAAUUUUAAACCCAAUCUUUUAUGAAUGCAAAGCCUAUAUGUGAAGUACUCUCAUAUUUAACUGAAGUAAAAUAUUUAAUUCUAGGCGAACUUGUCAUAGCGAACUUUCUUUGUUUCUAGACAUGACAUGUUGGUAGUAAUAAUAGGAUUAGUCUUUUCAACGCAUGCAUUGAUUGCUUGGGUCUAGGGAUUGUUUGGGGGUGAUGGAGUUACUAUUGAAUGAUAGGAAGCCUUAAUUAAGGAUUGCAGUGAGGAGAGAUAAUGCUGUAAAGUGGUACGACUAGUUAGUUUGAGUUAGAAUAGGCAACUUUGGAUGCUUUUUAUUGAAUAUAAUUUUAAAUGAUGCUCUUGUUAGAACUUAAUUGCGAGUUAUUUAAGCUCAUUUAGAAACUAUUAGUGGUUGGUUUACAAGAGGAGUAAGAGUUAUAAGUAGAUAUUUAUGACACCCUAUCCUUUCCCAUUCCUUCGAUGUGCUUUACCUGGCUAUGUCAUUAAUAAUUUAUAUUAUGCAUUUAUAAGAUAAAAUCUGAUUUGCAUAUGAAAUGUUAUGGAUUAUAGAACUGUUUAUUGUCAACUUAUUUUUAUUCAGUUUGAGCAUUUCUUUUACUUCAACAUCUUAUUUUAUGGAAUUGAAAUGUGCCAAUCAAAGUUAAUGCUCGUAAUAUAUUGUUGAUUAAAAUUUGAAACUCUUACAUAUAGGUUAAAAUUAUUGUGAUUUUCAUGUGAUUUGUCUUGUUGCCUUUGUGGAUAGUGUUGUUGGUCUUUGGUAUUGAUGCUCUAUUGCGCCACAAAUUAUAGAGAGUUUGUGUGCCUUAUUUAGUGAUCUGUUUAAAUUCAUGCACGAAAUCAACUGAUGUCGCAUGGGUAUGAGGAGUCUGCGUGCCGCAAAUAAUAAGUCUAUUUUAUAUUUAGUCUGUGUAUAUAAUUCUGUGCUUGGUAAUUUUCUAUUUGACACUUUUCUUUCAUAAUAACUACCUAAUUAAUCACACUGGACUUGACCAUAACUUGCUAACUAAGGUUGCAUUUAAUUAUUCAACAACCAGCAGUUAAGUGGCAGUUAUCCAUUUAACUAGUCAAAUACCUCAACUUUUUGGCUAGUUAAACUUAGCCGAUCAAUUUUCCCUAACCAGGUAACCAUGGUUAAAGAUAUUUUAGGGGGAAAGAGAAAUAGUUUUAACCAGCUGAUUAAACCUCCCACCUAUUAUUCUUCUUUUCAUUUUACCCAUCCCUUAUUUUUCUUCAUGUUUUGCCUCUCUCUCUCUCUCUCUCCUCACUUUUUAGCUUUGGGCUCGUUUGGUUCGCGGGAAGUAUUUUUUCUCUUAGGAAUAUGAUUCCUGAGAAGCAGAUUUCUAAGAAGAGGAUGCCUAGGAAAGUACUUUUGGCAUGUUUGGUUGACAAUGAGAAAGUGACAACCAAACCCAGAUCCUUCAAAGGAGAUAGGAAAGUUGUAUUCCCUGGAAUAUGAUUCCCACAUUUCAUGGGAAAGUUUUUUCCAUGAGAAAUAUGGGAAAGUUACUUUUCCAUGAGGCGGGAAUCACUCUAUUUCUAUUUUUUUCUCAAAAAAAUCCUUCAGCAUUAAAGAAGCAUUAAAGAGGCAUUAAAGAGGCAUUAAAGACCUAAUUUUUAUUAAGGGUAUAAUAGGAAUUAUACAUAACUUUCUUAGGAAAGUGGAUGGCCAACCAAAUAUAAGCACUUUGAAAAUUUGUCACUUUCCCAUGGUCAACCAAACAUGCUAAAAGUACUUUCCUAGGCAUCCUCUUCCUAGGAAUUUGUUUUCCAGGAAUCAUAUUCCUAAGAGAGAAAAUGCUUCCCGCGAACCAAACGAGCCUUUAAAUAGAGUGGUAGAGGUUCAAGGUUCCCUGCCUUCGGCGGCCUCUAGGAGUCCAACUCGCAUUGGGAGUUGUUGAGAAAAAAAGACUCUCAUCAGGCAUCUUCCUUAGUUAGGCACGUGCUUGGAUUCUUCAUUUCUUUUCUUUAUGGCCUGGGGAUAUCUUAGUGAUGGGCUGGUCCAGUGGACCGGGCCACCACACUGUUAUCUCCAGUUGACUUCUCCUUAAUAUUUUUAAGAAAAGCUUCAAGAAACAUAGUUAGAAUAGUCGCUGCAGCAGAAAAAAGGGCCGGACUCCAUACCCAGAUCCUGUUGAGUUUAAAUUCUACUCCAAAAAUCUUAUCCUGGACUUAUAUUAACCCAAUCCAAACUAUUUGCAUACAUAGUUGCCGACUGCAAGUUCAUGCGCGCAGAGCAUGUACUGUGAAAGCGGUCUUGAUCUGUUUCUUUAAAGUUUGCGGCUUUUUUUGGGAGCCUUCUUUACGUGGGAGAGAAGUAUCUUAUUACGGUAUAAUUAAGGUAUCUUAUAAUUAAGGAAAGCAAACACCGGGGGACAAUAUAGACAAUAGCAAAGAGUGUAGUACAUCAUUAUCAGAACAUGCUGCUCGUCUGCUACUCAUGUUGGUAAAUUAGAUUAGUCGUACAUAACGAACGAAUAAUCAGAGACAUGCGGACAAUUUAGAAGUAAUUACUUUUUGCACUAGUUUAAUUGUGAAGAAGAAUUCAGAUUUCGAAGAAACAUUUAGCUUUUAGAAGGAAACAAAGACUAAGAGAUUUUUAGUAAUUUGAAGAAUCUUGUUGCUUUAUCUAUAAAUAACUUUUUUUAAAAAUAAUAAGAGAAACAACCACCAAUGUAAUGAGGCGCCACAAUUAGAACAGUGCAAGUGGGCGUGUCAAGCCAAGUGCAGCGUGGUUGGGCCUAUCACGUUACAAAUUCCAAGCAAGAUUCGUAGCCUAAGAUCAUGGCAAGGCCCACCACCACAUGGGGGAACAUGGCAAGCACAGAGGCCCCUGAGAUAAAUGCCAAUGGAUUGUGAAAUCUAGCCAUGGGGGCAACAUCUGCCUACUUGCACUUGCCCUGUCUUCUUGCCACAUCCUACAAAAAGCUGGUGAUCUCGAGUGUUUUAUUGGGAAGGUCGAACCCAUGUUAACUAGGGGCCACCACAUGGUCCUUUCCGGUGGAUCCUUGUGCCAUUUGGCACGCCGCUGACAGUUGUUGAUGGAUAAAAUCCACAUGUUAUGUGGGAGGAUUCUCAGAGGGAUUUAAUCCCCUGAUAUGGAUAUAUUCAGCAUCUCUGAUCAGAGACCUUCCGCUGUGCUACCCGACAUAUAAAAAUUGUGGCAAAAAAUCUCUCUUUCUAUUUAUGAAAAUUGUUUUGAGAAAGACAGCUUGUGUAAAUUUUUGGUUGGGUGAACCUGAUGGUGCAUUGCAAGCUGUGUAACUCAGCGAACUCUGCACCCACGACGGUCCCAAACGUUGCCUCUGGAGGCAAGGGUGGGAAAACAAGGAGCAGAGCACGGCUAACCAAGUCAUAAGUUUGCACAAAGGAANNNNNNNNNNNNNNNNNNNNNNNNUAUGAAUUUUUGCAUCCAAUUAAUAUUUGUAUUUACCAAACAAACUAAAUAUGGAUAUGGACGUAUAGGCAUUUAAUCCGUAUCUAAUGUAGUUGCAGCUCUAGCAACUAGCUUAUUAAUGAUAUAAACAAAAAAUGCUUUUCAUGGAAUGACAUAUAACUAUGGUCUAGUGGUUGCACCUCUCAUCUAUCUUUUUGCUUCCAAUAUUAAUCCCUUGAAUUUUUUUUGAUGAAGUUCCAUAAUAUUUUAUCGUAACUUCUUUUUAACGUGAACGAGAAGAGGCAAAACUAUCACCUGGUCUAGAAUUUGAGGGUAUGGCUCACACAUUUAAGUUGAGGUCAUCCCUACUGUUUAUCCGCGGAGUUCACGAUAGCCCGCGUCACGCGGGGGAGCAAGGGAGGCGUGAUUUUCGAUACAGGUCAUCUUACCACGUUGCAACUCCGACCAACUCCUUCAUGUGAAUCCCACCACAAAGUUUUUCCAGUAGAUGAAUGUAAGGCUUUACUCAAUGAAAGGUAAAGAUAAAAAAGAAGGGAAUCCAUUAGGCUUGUCUGUUUCAUUAGUGAAACUUAAUGGAUUAUAUUUCCUAUUCUUAUGUAAAGGAAAAAGUGCCAUGAGAUUUCGUUGUCUAUGUGGAUUCGGCGAAUCCAAUCUGGUCCUGAAACAUUGACAUCCUAUUAUUAAUUGAGAUGUUAAUUGAGAUAGUUUCAGGUUUAUAGAUCCGCCCAAGAUAUGUUAACUCUACUUAUCAAUUUAAUCCAUACGUUUGAAUGCUCACAGAAUUUAUGCAUCUUUUUUUUAAUAUAAAUAUUUAUCUAAAAAAGCAUAGACAUAGACGUGCAUUUCUUUGCAUAAUCUUCAUGUCAUGCUUUUAUUGUAACUGCCGCACCGGAGAUGACUAGUCACGGACGGAGUGAGAUUGUUGAGAUACUACUUUCAGCGAGCAUCAUGGCACUUUUUAACACUAAGUUAACUCCGCAAGCAUAGUGUUAAAUGAUCAAUUGAGAAAAUAUAGAUAAGAUACGAGUCAUAAACACCCAAAAAGGAAGUCAAGAUCCAUUAUAAUUUGUUUCUUAUAAUUUGUUAGUCCAAUCAAAUUCAAUCACCCAUGCCUCGCCCAUUAGCCAAUCAUAGGUGAUUGAGCAAAGCAUUCAAUCUCUUUGCAUUCAUUGAUGCUCCAUGAAAUAAGCUAUGACGCUAUAAGAUGAACCCACUUUUUUUUUUGGUCUCCUUUUUUUUUUUUUGUGGAAUUGUAACUCCAUUCCUAGAGACUGUAUCUUAUGUGCAUAGGGGAAGUUCUCGACGACAGCAGUGAAUGGCCAAGGAUGACUUCUUUUUCCCUUUUUUUUUAAGGCUUAAUUAAGCCUAGUUAUUGUAAAAUGGAGCAGCAUCACGUUAAUUAGUUAAUCUAAAAUACACGUAUUAAUGUGGCAUAACUUGGAAGGUGACACGGGGAGAAACGGUUGCAAGGCGCAUGUGGCCGAUUCGCCCUCACCCGGAACCGGUCAUGUGCGUUUCAUUUGUUGUUUGCUGCAAUCCAUAUCAAGCCCUGCAGGCUCGGACGUGAGAAAAGCCAACUUAUCGCCAUAUUCAAAGAAAUUUAGGCGACGCCCCCCAUCCCACCCUCUUCUAUAAAUACGACCCCCCCCUCCCCAUUCCCCUUUACAAGCAUAACCGUACGCACUCUCGAACCCCACCUUUUCCUUUCCCUUUUCUCUUAGCUCCAAUCUAGCAAAGCCUCUCCAAUGGCAGUCCCAAGGUGGUCUCUCUUCCUCCUCCUCUCUUCCCUCUCCCUCCUUGUGCGCAGGACCGUCGGGGACUCCGGUUGGGAGAGCGCUCAUGCGACGUUCUACGGUGGCGGCGACGCGUCGGGAACGAUGGGUAAUUAAUUAGGCCUACAUAUUCGCACGAAUAUUGAUCACUAGUGAAAAUGACGAGAUAAAUAUGGUUAGCAAAUCAUUCUAAUGGGAAGUGAGUGUUCCAUGUCUUUAUAGGAGGUGCUUGUGGCUAUGGCAACCUCUAUAGCCAAGGUUAUGGCACGAACACUGCAGCCCUUAGCACGGCGCUCUUCAAGGAUGGCCUCAGCUGCGGGUCGUGCUACGAGCUGAGGUGCAACGACGACCCCAGGUGGUGCCUGCCGGGGACCAUUGUGGUCACUGCCACCAACUUCUGCCCUCCGAACAAUGCCCUCGCCAACGACAAUGGAGGGUGGUGCAACCCCCCUCUCCAGCACUUCGACUUGGCCGAGCCUGCCUUCCUCCGGAUCGCUCAGUACCGUGCCGGGAUCGUGCCCGUGUCCUUCAGAAGGUGAGCCUUGCGUUGAAUAGCCCGUGAGUUCUGAAAUGAACCGACUUGUCUUGGUUUCUGUGUCUGGGUCAGGACCAAGUUUGGUCAUCUGGUGGUGGGUUCGUAGCUAGGCUUGACCCCAUGACUGUUGGCUGGAGCCAGUUGCACCAUUUUGGCAUCUACUCGAGCAAUGUCUAACGUGUCAUGCCUUUGUCAACAGCAUGGCAUUAAUUAGCUGGGUUUAUAAAAUAUUAUUAUAGUUGAAUAGUUUUUAUGAUAUCAACUGAUGUCAUGUUAAUGAAGGAGAUAUGCUGUCUAAUAUAAUUUGUUCGUGAUCCACCAAAUAUUUUCCGUUCUACUCUUUCUUGCGGCAUGCAAUGAGUGAUCUCUAACCAUGUUCAUGAUAUCCUCCUGCAGGGUGCCAUGUGUGAAGAAGGGUGGGAUUAGAUUCACCAUUAACGGUCACUCUUACUUCAAUUUGGUCUUGAUCUCGAAUGUUGCGGGUGCUGGCGACGUGCAUGCUGUGUCCAUCAAGGGAUCGAAGACUGGCUGGCAGGCGAUGUCACGGAACUGGGGACAGAACUGGCAAAGCAAUGCAUACCUCAACGGACAGAGCCUCUCCUUCCGAGUCACUACGAGCGACGGGAGGACCGUCACCAGCUAUAAUGCUGUGCCCGCCGGGUGGCAAUUCGGCCAGACCUUCGAAGGGGGCCAAUUCUAAGGAGAGCAGGACUUGCUAGCCUAGUUAUCAAUACCUCUUGCACUAUUUGUAUUGGCUUUUACUAUUGGGUUAGGAGGGGAAGGAAGGAGCCUACUGUAUAGAUAAGUAGGUUAAUUUGGCUAUGCUGUGGUAGCUUUCACUGAGCACCCGCAACGCCCGCUAUUCGGUAUAUGGAUAGAUAAGAUAGAUGUGAAUUUGUUUUCAGUGCCUAUAAGAUUUCCUUUUGGAAAGAUGCCAAAGGCCGGGAUUGCAGGGAUAGGGAAGUUGGGUGGUCUUGUUUGUUGGGUAGCCCCCUCGGUCAUUAUCAAAUGGAUUAAAGAUGUCUGUGGGGACUAAGCUCUUGUACUUUCGUGAGGAUGCUAUUCCAGGCCACAUGCGUGUAACAAAGUGUUCUAUAAGUAUUACGGAGUUUUGUUAUCCGCUAUUCUGCAUUGUUAUCCUUUCAUGUGGUAUUUAUUACGAGGACUUGUGUCAAAUUUGGUUGAGCUCUUGAUAUGUUUGGUGGGUAAGCUUUUUCUUUCUACGGGAAUAACUUUAUCGGAUACGUCCACUGUUUUUACCGACCGGAUAUAUAAAUGUGACAAGAACUCGAUCAAGGAAGAGGACAAGCUAGCUAGCGGCCUUCGCUUCUCGCUAACUCUCUUCUUUCACAACUUUUUUCCCUUUUAUUUUUUUCUUUAGGAAGGCAUUUAGAUCACCACUACGUAUUAAAGAAAGCUCAGAGGCUGCGAAAGAGAUCCAGUGGCUCUCCAUGGAUCUUAACGUUAUCCUUAUUUAGUGUCAGGGGUGGGAGGACGGACAGAGUAUUUGAACCAUGUCCCUUUCUCCAUUAAAAUCUUGGUUGCUGCCGUCAUCCGUGGUUAGUUACAUGCGACAGCCUAAACGUUCGUGUGACCUAAUUUUUUUUCGUUGUUAUAAUUAUGUGGUAGAAUUUUCACGGACUCAAUUUGAGUACCGCUGAUGGAGCCACGUAGUACUACUUUGGACCAAAUAUCCUUGGUCCAGGGUUUGGUAUCGCUGAUUAGUCAUUCAAGUGGUCUCUUGAGACACAGGAUGUGCACCAAUAUUACAAAUGAUGAACAAACUUUUCGGUGAAUGUAAACUAGUUGGGGCACCACGUCAAGUCACACUCUUAAGACUUCUCAACGGAAAUAUGCAGCUUGUGUGCUUCAUUAAAUGCGUUAUGCAUCACUAUGAGCAGAUAGAGAAGAAACGGCUGAAGUUGUGAUAAGUUGAUGCUCCGUACAUCGUCAUAAUACUGCUUCAGAAAUUGAAAUGUUCCAUGUCAUGAAUUGACCAGCUUAAUAUGCGCAAGAUUAGCAAGUAAUGAACUAUUACUUCAUAAUCCAAGCAUGCAUAAAUCUUGAAAUAAAUUUCUCAGGAUUAUCAAAAAAAAAAAGAAAAGACAGAAGAUAGCAAAACAAAAUGUUCUGGUUUAACGGCGCCAUGCUCGUAUAGAGCUAUUGCCUUCCAUCAGCAGUCACUUCUGAGAGUAGUCAAUUCAUUUACAUGUUCUCUUUAGCAGGCAAAUGUGUAACGCAAGAAAGCUCGCGAGAACUCUCAAUUUAGUUUUUACAUUUCUAAAGCCUUAUCCUUCAACUCCAAAACAUCUUUGCCUCAAGUAAACCCCCGUAUCCAGUGACAGCUUCGGAUAAGCGCAAGAAAAAGCAACUCAAAUAAGAACUUCAAAAAUUCAAAAAAAAAAGGUGGUCAUAUAAAGGAGUUUCAUGAAACCAGACCACAUGGUAGAAUCCAAAUGACCCAAAACCGAAAUCUUCUUGAAAAAGGUUAUGGCAGCAAGAUGAAGCUCUUAACUGGGAUCUUGGGAAGAGAGCACCAUUUCGGGUUCACAUGAGAAAGGUGAGAAAUAUGAACUUAAGAGAAAUGCCAGGGAUAUACAUCCGUCACCUCUUCUAGGAGAACAACCAGGUAUCCAGGUCUUCUCCCAUGUCGGUUCUACCAUAUCCAACUACUUAAAGCAAGCUGCUUAGCCAUAAAGCACCUUCUUCAAACUCCAACAUCAUCCGUGCUGUAAAAUUUGAUGAAGUGCAAAGAAUGUAAAAAUGCUAACUGAACAAAAGCCCAAAUCCUCAUCGAACUUAACCCCCAGCAAACUGCCAUAAUAUACAUGCAAAACAAACACCAUCCUUGCAACUGAAACAACUGACUUCAGUAAUUCAACAAUGAAUACUUUAACCUCAAUACAAUCUUCCCCUUCUCAACUCCAAGCUUCCCACCAGUCACCAACCAGUGCCCUGGUAUAUCAUCUGGGGCUUUGCACAUCUCCGACAUAUCCACAAGCUUCAUCAGUUUCCCCAAAUCACUUGACCCUGCACUUGAGUCACCUGAGUCCUUGGAAUCUCCCGCAGACAGUCUCUCUGAUUUGUUGUUUGGACCUGCUGGAUUGUGGUCCCACAAGGAUCUUCUUAUGGUGCAUCCAGGUACCUUAGAAUAGAGAAGUUUCAUGUACAACACAUUUUUUGUUCCAAAGUCCCAAACUCCAAGCUGAGCUCCAGUGACUAUAUACACACCAGAGAUGUCACCAAGAAAAGUCUCGUUGUGCUCAAUUGGCGCUGUGCAGAUGUGAGAGAAGUUCUUCCACUUCACAGGCUCAAACCACCGGCUAUCUUGCUCCUCAGGUCCCUGCCACUUUGGUGCACCUAUGGCAAUGUGAGUGUCCCAAUAAGGUUGAAGGAUCUUUGGAAGAGAUGCCAAGUGCUGGACCUGAAUACAUAGCCGGUUCUGCUUGGCUCCUUCCAAGCGCAAUCUUAGGCCAAUGACAGGCUUACGCCCAACUGAUACCUGCAUAGUUAUCCAAAUGACAUCACAGGAAAAGGAGGAUUAAAAAGAAGGUUCACUGCCAAAAAAAAAAAAAUGACACCAGGUCAUCUGUGUAUAGAAAAGGUUUCAAAUUAUCAUUGCCCCAGCGUAUAAGUGGAGUAGAAGGAAAGCAAUAGGAAAUAUGGGUGAAAUUUCAGUACAAAGUACCUACUGCUAUGAAAAAUUAUUAGUGACAGCAUGUCUAUGACCCUUUCUAUAUUAAAUGGAUUCAGAUAAUCGAUAAUUUAGAGAGCAAUUACUGAUAGUUAUUAUAUAUGAAGAUUCAGAAUAUAGAGUUGCUGAAAGUUGGGAUGAUAAUGGCAAAUGAUCCUUCUGAUACUUUUCUAGCUUGCAAGCAGAUGCCAUCUAAAGAUGGUAUACCAAACAAGAAAGUACAAAGAUAGCAUGGCAUGUACUGGUAGCAUAUUAGAAUCAGUAAUAUAUCGCAACGCAAUCGUAGUUUCAAAGCAGGUACAUCAUAAGGAAUGGUCAUUAAAGUCAACUUUACAAUUACAAUAUUAUUUGCUCUAGUCCAAUUCAUCAAGAAAAAGUUUUAUUAAUUUCAGAUGACACUUUUUUAUAGAAAUUUUUACCGAUCAAUUUGUUGCGAAAUUCACAUAUUUUUUGCAUGACCGUGCAAAGCAUUUAUGUAUCUUUAAGGGAAUGAAAAGAAAAAUGAAGGCAGUGUUCCCCAAGAUACAGUUUCAUAUACAAUAAUAGACGCUAGUAUCAACCCGGCGAUUCUAACGGCUCUAUUCAAUUCUAUGUGCUGCAUGAAAAGCACACCUGCUCUUGGCUGACAUGAAGCUUUGGCCCCAUAAUACUGCACUGCAAAUAUGGGCAGACUGGCUCUUUUCUUUGAUGCCCUGGAAGUUCAUUUCGAACUGGGGCCCAUAUCCUGGGGACCUGAAACUCUAGAAAAUAUCGUAGCUCUUCGAUUGGAGGCUUAUCUGCAAAUGGAAAUGGAGAAUAUUUUCAGGUUAGGCAUGUAAAGAUCCCACGAAAAUAAUUUAACAAAGAAACACAUGUACAAGGGCAAAAUAUAUACAUUCCAGAUAAAGAUUGAUAGCCCGCGUUAGAUGGUCCUUCCCAGGGAUGUUUUCAAGGAGAGAAGUGAUUGGAUAGAAAGUCAUUUCAAUAACAUCAGGAGCUGAACAGACAGUUCUUGCCCAGUUGGUGUAGCUUUGGACUAGAUCAUCUCCUCCCCUUCUUCUGAAAAUGACAGUAACAUCCUGCAUCAACAAUUGCAUCAGAAAAAUGGAGGCUCAGACAUUAGAACAUUGCUUGACACUUAAAACUGCCAUGGAUUACAUAUAGAUAUAAGCCACAAGUAAGCAACUUAACCUUUUCUGGUAUGCCUUUAUGUUACUAAACAACUCAUGGAGAAUAAGCAUAAUAGACGAAUGUCCCAUCCAAAUCGAACAGAAGACGAUUUCACUAACUAGACUGAUAAUAAUUAGAAUAAGAGCAAUUACGCUCCGCUGAAAUUGACGAAUUUAGUUUAAGACAGCUCUGGUGGUUUCAGCUAAUCUAAGCCAAAAAUGACAGCAAUUGAUCAGAAGGGCUAAAUUCAAAUCAUGUUUACUAAUGUCCAUACAUCUAAUACGAGUGGAGAAAGCAUGGAUAACUGUGAUCCCCAUCUAAUUAAAUUUUUUUCCUAUUACUCAUGUAACUUGAUAAAUACACUUCAACUUUAAUGGGCAAUCUUCAGACUAAACUAAGAUUUUACAAAGUUUACCCAAAGACUUACUGCACAUAAAACAAUGAGAUAAUAUUUUUUAAUGGUACCCAUCACAAUUCUAUCUCCAAAAAUCACAAACAGUACAAUACAAUCUUUAUUACUCUGGUAAUUUUCUUGAUAUAAUUCUUUUUUGCUUUUAUUUUAUCUCUGUAAUUAUUUUUUUCAGUUAAGAAUGCAGAAACUGUUAGUAAAACUCCUUCGGUGCAACGUGUACUUGGUCAACAGCUUAGUUCCAAAAUAUGUGGUAGAGGAUUCAAAACUUCUUUCUUGCAUAGAACUUCAUUAAACUAAUUAUGUAUUUCAUAAACCGAACCAAUUUUCGAUCCAGUCAAUCAUAAACUUGGAUAGCGGCUUGUACAUAUGUAGCACAUCACUUAAUAAGUAUGGCAGAUGAAGACUAAGGUCUGACCAUGGACCUCACACAUAUGGGCUCCGGUCUGCUUGUGGUAUGGCCAUCAAAGUAUGAGCACAAGCUUAAUUACGGCAACAAUCAUGUAAAACAACGACAAAGUUAUAAACAUCACUUUUGUGACAUGCGAUCGGCCUAUAAGAAUUCAUCGGUCACACAUGCAAUAUCUAGAGCAGCGAGUAUUCAGCAGUCACAAGUAAGCAUGCAAUCCUAGAUAUAUACUAACCUAUUUUCAAAAUGCAAGCUUCUUGGCGACCUCAGAUUGCUCUAGCUUGUGAUAGUCUUUGGACAUGGGCAAUUGCUAGAUAGCUAUCCUUCUCUUGGAAGUGGGUGAACCACAUUUUAUAGGAUCCUGUGACUUAAGGUCUAGCUGCUAGUUUCUCUCAAGAAUCCAGAAAAGGAGAACCCAAAGACUGCCCAUGGAUUUCAGCACGAUUGUUAUAGCGAUAGCAUAUUUCAGACCUCCUUUGAGAGAUCAAGGAUUUAUUUUCGGUAACAAGGAGCCCCUUCUGCAGGUCCAUCCACGACUACUUAUUGAUUUUAGUUAUUGAAAUGAAAAGAACCAACACAUUUGAAGAAAAAAAAAUUCUUACCACGUCUGAAUGCCAAUACACAUUUUGGAAGAAGAUAUUCUGUAGCCAUCCCAAAAGAGUCACAAACAUUAAUAAGGUCUCAGUUUAAUACAUUCAACAGAGAUAUGCAGAUUCUAUAAAAGUUUUCCUGAUAUAACAUAUACAUAAUAAAAUAAAAAAAAACAAUAUAUCUAACAGCUUAUAAAUACUUCGAGUACUGUUCAUCAAAUAGUAUGUAUGUGAUUUAAAUAACAGUGGACACAUCGAAAAAAACUUCUCAUAUAGAAAGCAGCAUGGUUUGGUUUUGAUUUCCAUAUUGCAAUUGUUACUAUAAUAUCAUGAUCUAGGAUCACCUCCCUAUCUUACAUUGCAUGCAUAUAAGCUGACAUAUGUCAUCUUCUUGGAAAAUAUUUAAAUUUCUAAUUAACUAAUUUCAUUCCCUUUUCCUUAUUUCCCCAGUCAUAACUCUGUCAUGGUGGUGAAGAACUUCCAAUUGUUGUUAAGCAAGGGAUGCAGUUUUUAGCCUUUACAUGCAUAUAUAAGUCGGAGAUACAACAGCAAUUGUAAAAUAUGAAUAAGAAAGUAAAUAUGUUGUACUACCUCCUUUGCAGUAAGAUAUGGAGCAUUGGGUGGGAGAUACAACAGCAAUUGUAAAAUAUAAAUAAGAAAGUAAAUAUGUUGUACUACCUCCUUUGCAGUAAGAUAUGGAGCAUUGGGUGGUUGCGGGUAUAUUCCUUGACUGUUGAACACAAAAGGAUCCACGGCCUGGCAAUCCAUCCGGUACAAAUAUGUUAAGCCGAUGUGCAAUACAGGCUACAUAAAAUGUUCAUAAGCAAUUUCCAAGAGAAAAAAGACAAAGCACUAGCCUUAUCCUUCAGUUUCAAUGGACCUGAACUUGUAUGCUUUCCAGUUUCUGAGAACCUUUGCUCUCCAAUGUCCUGGAUAUAGUUCUUUAGUUCCAUGGAUGAUAAGGGUGACGAGCUAUGCUGCUUCACAUAAAUCACAUCCUUACCACCAAUGGUAAUGGAAGUGAUGACAUGAGUCCCAUAAUUCUCAAUAAAUCUGUAAACAAGCAUAACUUUUAAAUGUUCUUUAUUGUUGUAAAAAUUUUGCUUUCUUUCAACAUAUAAUUUGUAUAUUUACCUUGCUAAUGACAACGGUUCCCAUGAAAGUGGCACAGCAUGCCUCACCUCUCCUUGUAAUGAUAAAGAUUGUUUUACCAAGUAAACCUUACAUAAAGGGAUGAACCUUCCUUCCAUUGCAAGGUUUUUUGUAGCUGCAGCAUCAAUUUUCUUUGAUCCAGUAAAGCUGAAUGCAGAAUUAAAGCUUCCGAUGGAAAAUUUCCCAGCAGAUGAGCUUUUCUGUUAAAAUAUUCUGCCAUCUGCACUCACGCAUAGGUGGGAAAUCAUAACUAAUCAUCUAUGAUAAUCAGCAAGGAAAUAGAACACCUCACAUCAUACUAUAAUCAGCCUAUAAUAUACAAUAUGGUAAAAAACAUCUUCACUUUCUGAAAAAAAUAUGGCCAGGACAAUACAGCUCCUGUGAACUAGAAAAAAUAGAACAUAACUUCAUUGUCUGCCUACUGUCAUAUUGCAGAAUUCAUUCCUUAUGAAUGAUGCAACAAGGAAGGGGAUGGGUGAUGAUGGACAACAGUCAACAAUUUACUACUGAAAUAAGCACUCUGAUGAUAGUGUUCCUUUCUCCUCAAUGAUAGAGAAAUUCUAGACAAUGACUAAAACAACUUAUUACUGAAACAAGCAGUAUGGUGAUAGCGUUCCUUUCUCCUCAAUGACAGGGAGAUUCUGAAAAACAGUUAAAACGAUUAACUACCGAAACAAGCAAUAAGAUGAUAGUGCUCCUUUCUCCUCAAUGACCAAUAACCAUUAUAAAUGGUUCUACAAAGCCAAGAUGCAUGGAUGCUUUUAAGAAGAUUCUGCGCUGUUUUGCUUCUUUUCUUUCAGACAUGUGGAUAUCCCAUUCAGGGUUGUAAAUGAUACCCGAAAACUCAAUAGCCCAAUCUGAUUAUUUUAUAAUAAUUGCGGUAUAGAUUCAAAUUAAGUUGGGAAAAACCUUAUCAAAUCAAAGUCGGAUUCUAUAUAUUGGAUCUGAUUUCUUAUAUGAUUGAAUGCUGAUGCAGCUAUGUUCAAAUACAAAAACCCAAUAACCUGAAUAUAAGGAUAGAAAUAUAAAGAAAUUGGCCACAUGACUUGUGUUAAUUCCUUUUCUUCUUAAUUGGAAUUACGUCUUUCUCGCAUGCAUGCUCUACUCAACUCUUGCCUAUUGCUAUUUUAGUUCCAAAUCCAAGCCAACACUUGGAUUUUGAUUACGUUUCAAUCAAACUAGAUGUAUAUUGAAAUUCGAAUAUGUUUCUAAAGUGAUUGGAUUUGUUUUUCAAAACCAAGUAUUCGCCUCUUAGAUCGUGCUCUUUUCUCACCAAAAACUAAGAAGAUUCACUAUUUACGGAGGACUAUUGUGAUAAAAGUUCUUUCAGUUUUGGAAAUUGCUAACUGCUAACUAGUUGGUGUAUAAAAAUCAUGUGCUAAGUUGAACCUCAAGAAAACUUGAAUCUAAUUAUUAAUCAGGUUUGGAAGCUAGUUCCACGUUUACUCAUUUUGAUGGAUCCAAACUCGAUUUUUCUUAUCAAGGUCGGAUGCAGAUACAACAUGGAUUUGACCCAAUUCCAACCCAUUUACAGCCCUAAACCCAUUGUGCAAUUGGCGAAUAAAAGAUUGAAGGUUAGGGAAUUGCCGGGUUUAAAAGAAACUCAUAGGCUUAAACAAAAGGCAAAGAUAGAUGGGGAAGGAUAGCAGGGAUUUAUAGAAUUCUCUCUUAAAUAAAGGCUAUGGAGAACAAUAGUUUUAAAACAAUACUGUGCAUAGGGAAACAAGGCCUGGAACAUAUUGCUUCAGGCCAAAACAUGUUAACACCAACUAGUCUAGUGUUGGAUACCUAAAACCAAAUUUUCAUAGUUGGAUACCCAAUCUGAGCAGGUUUAAUCUCUCUAUUCUGGGACUAAUUAAACCUUCAGGAUAUGAGCUUACAAGAAAGAGUUGUAAAUUUUUGGUUUAAAAACCAUUCCAAACUCUAUUUCCACCCCCUUGACCAUCUAAUACUUUGAACUAUAAGCAAAAUAAAACUUAUUGGUCCCUCUAUCAAGACCCAGUCCUGCUCCUACUCACAUUCCUUUUCCUGGUUUUAAAACGUAUGGUAAUAUAUUACCUAGAAUUUUUUGAGGUAGCCAUAACAUUUUGGCAAUACAAAGAAGGAGAAGGUCAUUUUCUUGUUUGUUGAAUGGCAAACCCUUGAAUCUAUAAAGGGUUCAUAAUCUAUAAGAGAAAGUAUAUAAAACCUGAAAAACUGCGAACAAUAGUCAACAGUCAUUGUCUGAUAUAUGUGGCUUAGCUAAUAGAAAGCUUCAGUCCUGAAACCUUAAUUUGUCAUGCUACAGAGCUCACAUACCAAAUAGUAAACUCUAUCAAAAGUUAUAUUCUUCCACCAUGUCAAUCAACCAGAAAUGAGACAGACAAAGGUCUCUAUGUCAAAGAUAAGAUUCUACAAAAUCCUUAAAUAACUUAAAUAACUUGACAAACCUUUAACAUUAUGCUGCUUUAUGAAAAAUCCUUUUUUCCCUCAGAACCAUGUGAGGUGGUCAGCUUCAGUCAAAUGGCCAUCAUGGAUUGCAUGGUUAAGUUUAAAAAAUAAACUGUAAUAACCAUUCUGAUCAUAUGUUGCAAAAUUAUGUUCAUUAAGAACUAUAAUGCAUGUUCAAAAAUAAUUUCUCAAUCUUGAAAACUUUGGCCUGACUUCUGUCCUUAUGGUCCAGCCUUUGAGUUAAUUAUGAACUCUGAAUCCUCCUGUAUUACAUGAUGCAUCGAACAAGCCCUGCCAUAUGCCAUGCACUUAGUCGAAAAAAUUACAUGAUUUCAUUACUCUUUUUGAGCAUCAACCAAAAAAUGACCCUUAUUCUUUUUCUUAGUUAUCAUACAUGCCCACAAAAAUACGGUCUUGAAUAAAGUUUAACUAUUAAAUCCAACAAGUGAUUGGUACUAAAUCAAACUAGUUUACACACCUUUUGUUGACGGAAAAGACACUGAGAUAUACAUAUAAUUAUGUUAAACAAGUUUAUAAAUUUAAAAAUGUUGAUAUACACUAAAAUUUAAUCAAUGAGCCUAAAAAACCACUGAAAACAAUGACCAAGCGAACUGUAUCCCUACAUAUUCUGCUGGUGAUCUCGAAACUGAUCCUAAAACAAACAAUGAUCUCAUACAGAACCAAUGCCAUGUUAGCAAUAAUUCUUGAAAUAACACGGAGCAAUUACAACUCCUUGUUCCAAUCUUUCAUGUUUAUUAUACGUUUCUACUUCUCAUUAAUUGCAUGACAGAACUAAAGUACGAUUAUCAACAACUAUAAUAACUGCAUUUAAAGAAAUUAAAUAAUCCAAACACAAUCGCAUAUUAAAAUGACAAUUGGCAUAAAGUAAAUUCACUUGCAACAAAAUAUACUUCCCAGCAUCAAUCCGUGAACAAUAUGCGGUAGCAUUUAACAGGAAUCAUCACAGAGACGACAACACAAAUUAAACUCAAUAAAAGGAGCAAUUAGGGAAAUCAAGCAGAGUCCCCGCCAUACCUCAUAGAACCCGCGAGCACCCGUGCUCUCCCGCCUGCUGCUCUCCCUUGAACACCACACAUCUCUCGACACAUUGGGCACGAUCAGACUGUUAGACACCGGCAGAUCUCUCAUGUGCUCCUCAUCGACCUCAACAAGCCUCGACCCGGCAACCCCCUUGCAGUAGAGCAACCGGGUAUCAUAGUUAACAUCAAAACCCCUCCCCAGAGCCUGGAUUGAACUCUGUAUAGUGCGAAAAGCAGCAUUCUCCUCCAUCCUCACCACGUCCCGGACAAAGCCAAGAAUCUACAAAACCUAAAACUCUAAACCUAAAUCAAAAUCCAAAAAAACCCAGUCAGACCCCUUGGCAUCCAUCUCCAGUACCGAUCGUUCCAUCUAGGGGUUCUCAGAAACCCCCGGGAAGAAUCCCAGACCGAAUCUUUUGACGGCGAUCUUUUCCAAUCUUUCGAGCUUAAUUUCUUGGAUCCUGUGAAAAGAAGCGCCUUUCUUCCUUCUUUAUUCCUUCCACAGAGCUAAAACCCUAAGCCCCAAAUUACAAACGGCGGAUCUCGCUUUCCUCACCUAAAUUAAAAGACUUCUGGCACAAGGGAUUGAAGGCUCGAAGCUACGAGGAUUCUAAAACGUUCUUUUAAACUUCCUCGGUGCGAGGGAUUCCUUUGCCUCUAGAGCCUAAAAAGACCUCAUUUCUCCCCCCACCCGGCCGGCUCCAAGAAGUCGAUAAUUUGAGCCUUCGAGAACACGAGUUGCGCCCUCUCUCUCUCUCUCUCUCUCAUCUAACUGGGCUUUGACUGUGGGGAUUGGGCUUUUAGACCUUGACAUCUGAUGGGUUCUAUUACACCAAUAUCGAUGCGUCCACACACACUCUUUGACUAAUCCCCAGACUAAACUAGGAUUGAGAAAAGUAUUUAGGAGAAAGCAAGAUUGAAUGUACAUGCGUGUGGAGAUAAAAGUAGUGUGUUUAUGAUAUGAUGACUGUCUGCUAAACUCUGGCUGCUCUUUUGUGACCUCCACCUUUCAAGAUAUUGAUGGUAAACAUUCCCUCUCAGUCAAAGACAUCUUGGUUCUAAUUGUUUGGAAGAAUAGUGAGCUUUCGUCAAUCAGCUUGCUCUGCAUUCCCAUUCAAGGUGAGGAGAGAAGGUGAGACUCAUCUUACAAGUUGCCGUGACUCUCAAGUCUAGCUAGUAGGAAUCUAACAUCUUUCAUUGGCUUGCUUUGACUGUCUACAAGUUGGAAAGGGUCCGGAAGUUUUUUCGUCCCCCCACCCUCCCCACGCGAUGAUGACAACGGAGGCAAAAUGCCACUUUGCUUAAAUUAGCCUUGUUGGCAGCAUCUUUAUGAUUUGAGAAAUUUUAAAUUUUGAUUUCUGAAUUUUAUCUCUUUUCAAGGUGUGGUAACUGCUUUUGGGAAACGGCUUUGAAACGUUUAAUUUUCUCAUGUUUUUGGCUCUUUAUAUUUUUUUAUCUUCAUUCCUAUAAUAAAAUUAAAAUUAGAAUAUUAUUUUUUUUAUGUGUCUUUCUUGCUUAUCCUAUAAGUUUUUAUAGGUACCAGUAUUAUCAUUCUUCUUUUGGGUGCAUUUUUAUAUAUAGUGAUGUUAUCUUUGAUGAGACGGUGUUUCUUAUAUACAAAACUUUUUUAGUAAUACUUCCGAGUGAACCAGUAGCCUUUCCAAUGUCUCUUCUUUACUAUGGCUUGUACCCAAGUCCAAUGAUCAGUUAACAUCAACCCACAUUAAUCCACCCGUAUGUCCAAUUCCAAGUCCUCAAACUCGGCUCAAUUCUUUGCAAACAAAUGACAAUGACCCAACCACGACAUGUGACCAAUAUUUUAUAGUCACUGUUGAACCUAUUGCUCUUAAACCGAUGGCUGCUUCUUCUCAUAUUGAUCAUCAUCACGUGGUCAUGCACUCCAAGGAUGGCAUGCUCAAGCCACAUCAUUUUAGCACAAAAUAUCCCUUGGUAUUCGUAGCUUCCACUAUCUCUGCCAAGCCUACUUACUUUAGUCAAGCUCGACAUGAUCCUCAAUAAUGUGAAGUGAUGAUAGAUGAGUACAAUGCCUUGCUCUUCAAUGGUACCUAUCUUUAGUACCUUACUCUUAUAUGUUCGAACAUUACCUUUACAAUCAACCAAGUAUAUCAAUACAUGAAUAGGCCCCACGUGCACGCACUAGCUUGCAAUCAAGCAUAUUCUUUGCUACUUGAAGCAUACUAUUGGCUAUGGUCUUUAUUUAACCAAAGGCUCAUCCUCUCCUCUUUAUGCCUAUUCCAGUGCUAAUUGAGCCUAUGACCGACAUUUUGUAAGUGGCUUCAAUAUUUUUUUGACCCUAAUCUCAUAUCCUGAAGUGCUAAAAAGCAAUGCAUUGUGGCAUAUUCAAGUACCGAAUUCGAAUACAAAGAGCUUGCCAAUACUAUAUCUAAGCUAAUUUAGAUUCAAUUUUUAUUAUAGAAAUUGAGUAUCUCACUUUCUCAAUCCUCUAUAUUUGGUGUGACGACUUAUCUGCUAUAUAUUUCACUGUCAAGCCUGUAUUUCAUGCUCGAGCCAAGCAUUUGAAAUUUAAUUUCAUUUCAUUCAAGAGCAAGUGGCUCGUUGCUAGCUUUAUGUCCGAUUCAUCUUCUCCAACGAUCAACUUAUUGAUAUAUUCACCAAAGAACUUGCCUCCCAAUACUUUUAAUAGUUGUAUUCCAAGUUGGAGGAUGUUGGCAGAUCUUUAUCUCAACCUCAUAUCAAGGAUGUAUAAUUUGAAAAAAAUUAAAUUUUAAAUUCUGUAUUUGAAAUGGUAUAAAUUUAGGAUGAAUCUUAGGGAUCUAUUUGNNNNNNNNNNNNNNNNNNNNNNNNNNNNNNNNNNNNNNNNNNNNNNNNNNNNNNNNNNNNNNNNNNNNNNNNNNNNNNNNNNNNNNNNNNNNNNNNNNNNNNNNNNNNNNNNNNNNNNNNNNNNNNNNNNNNNNNNNNNNNNNNNNNNNNNNNNNNNNNNNNNNNNNNNNNNNNNNNNNNNNNNNNNNNNNNNNNNNNNNNNNNNNNNNNNNNNNNNNNNNNNNNNNNNNNNNNNNNNNNNNNNNNNGUGGGGCGUCCAUCGCCCGCUCUCCUCCAAGACCUUGAAACAGUGUUUUCCAUCCAGAAGAAUACGUGGAUAUUAACAAGAAGCCAAAUUAUACUAAUAUGAAUACGUGGGAAGAGUUGGAGGGUCAAAUUUGUGAACCUAUUAUUUUACCGGGCAGCGUUUAGUGGCUAGACUGCGGCUUUGACCCCUGUUUCCGAUGAUCAACGGAGUUAGACCACGACAGCAUGUCAAGCUCCGGCAGGUCCUUUUCGGAAGUGAUUCCCUCACCUCAGCGGCCAAUAUCUGGCGGGGUGGGUGAGCGCAUCCUUUGAGAAUAAGGUCAAUGGUUUCAGACGUUAGAGAUAUUUUGGAUAGCAAUCCGAGCUUUUGUUUCUAUCACGUGUGCGGCGGAGUAAGGGGAAGCCCAAUUUGGUAGGCUUCAAAGUAUGACUUGGGCCCAUUCCAGUCAAAAUGGUCUUCGUCAAAGAAGUAGAUAGCUGCAAUGUCAAUUAAGAAGCCAAAAUUACUCUUCAUACAAUAUACAGUGGUUUUCUGAUCUUUGUUACAUGAUCUUGCAUCAAAUCAUAAUCUAACCAAUACUAUAGCAUAAUUUGUGUGUUCCAAGAAAAGGAAGGGGCCCGUGCACCGCAGUAUGUUGUGUCUGCUUGCCAUCAAGAGAUGAGCAACCAUCAAACAACGCACACCGUGUGUAACAUAGCAUGUGUUCGUGGACUGCCUUUUGUGAUGGCAGUCCACAUCGUCUGAUGGUGGCCACACAACACUUUGCGGUGCCGCAUGCACAAGGAUCCAUAGAGAAACCUUUUGCUCGGAGAUUUACAAUAUAUUACGAAGAUAUGCAUCGGUAUGCUACUGCAGACAUGAGAUUGAAGUGGGAUAAAAGUGGGAGAACCAAUAGAAAAAAUACAAAACUUUUGAGGCAAUGAUUAGGAGACAACCUAAUCACUUUAAUUGAGCAAAUGGAAGUAUGAACAAGAAUUACAGAAAAUUUAGAGCAAGGAACUAGGAGUUUAGCCCGUAAAUUCAACCAAACGCGUCAAAAGAUGAACCUCCCCUUCCGCUAACAAUUUAGAUGUUGAAACCAAAGGGUUCAGCUUCCCUUUGGUCGCGUUAGAAGAAAAGCCAGUCCAACUUAACUAAGAAGUAGAUGCUAUCGAGAAGACCGAAAGCCGUCCCUUUUCUCCAGAGAAGAUCUUUCGAUUUCUCUCUAACCACACCAACCAACACACAGCUGAAGCCAAAGUCAUCCUUCAAACUGUAAAUCUUUUCUUAGAUGAAUCUCUUUCCAAUCUCGCCGCAGACUAUUGACAUUACUACUGAAUCUUAUAAUGAAUCUUGCAAAAAUGCAACCAAAUUGACUUGAAAGGGAGCAUGAGACAAAUUAAUGAUCUACACUUUCCUUCUGUUCACAUAAGGCACAAGUCACCAGAGUCAACAAUUCCCUUUUCUUAAAUUCUCAACAGUUCACAUCCUUCGGUUAAAGAGUGAACACUAAAGCAUUUUGAUUUUUUCUGGUAUAGACAUAUACGGAUUUGUUUGAUCUGGUAAGAAAAGUCCACUGAAGUUAAAUCUCUUGUAGCAGCUGUAAACUGUGAUGAUUCCAUUGGCAUUCCAUCUCCACUUAUUUGUAUUGUGUCCAUUUCAAGAAAAAUCCCCCCAUCCUGCAAAAGAUCUAUCCACUUGACCAGCUCCCAGUAGAGACCUUGCAGGUUGCAGGGAGCAAAUUCAGUAUUCCAUUUUAAAUACAAUAUAGGUUGACAGUCACCAGAGAUUAAGGCCUCCUUGAUCACCAUUCCAAAAAAGAGUUGCAAAAAUGACCCUUCGGUGGCUGGGGAAGUAGCCAGCAGUCAUUCCAGAACACUACAGAGCCUUCAUUUUCCUACACAAAAUUGUGUUCCCGCUCCGAUGAUAAAACAAACCUGUAAAUUUGUUUCUAAGAUGGAGAAGAGGGGUCAAGAAGAGAGUUGAACAUGAUUCAAAUAUUUGACAAACAGUACACAAACAUCUACAAAUUGAUGAUAUUGAAUUAAAUUCUCUAUAUUUUUUUUAUUAAGGUUGACUUGUGAAUGCUCUUCUUUCAACUCCAAGUUUGCAGUUCAAUGCAGUUGCAUCAUUCGCCUGCUACCCGACAAAAAAUUUUGGCAUCACAUAUUUUAGCAUGGUCUUCAGGAAUGGAAAACACUGGCCCGAACUAUCAGCUCAUAUGUCAUCUUGCAUACAUUCUUUGUGACUAAUGAAGCAAGAUUCCAAACUGACCUUUCUGUGUCCAACUUGGCUCCUUCAAAAUUCCCAUGACUCCUUGGGUUCAUAAGCAGGUUCAUUAGUAAGGAGAGAAGAGCUCUACACACUGAUCGUCCUUGACCAUAAGAGGUAAGGCUAUGGGUGCAUGCUGCUUUGCCAAAAACCCCUUUCCAUUCUUCCUUUCCAUCUCUCAUGCAUUUGGAAAAUGCAAUCACAGCAAGUAGAAGUUAACUUCACUUUAAAUGUAACGUAACAAACUUUCACUUGCCAAUAAUAUGGAGGAGAUCUAGGAGACAGAAAAAUGGGCUGUCAAAGUCCAUAGAACUAUAAAUCUCAUCCCACUCAACCAUAAUUAUGUCUAAUGUUUAUUUGAGAUCAUAAUGCAUCCCAUCCACAAUGAGCUAAGUGUUUUCAGCCAACUCCAUGAGCUAGGUUCACAAAAGAUUGGCUGUAAUUGUAAGAGUCAAUCCAAGAAUCAGCUACAGAAUCAAGGAAUCUUCCAUUAACAUCCACCCUGUCUUGGCUUAAUCCAACAUGGGCUUACCAAAUAGUAACCAUAUGCCACAGCAUUAUUUCAAGACAAUCUGCAUGGCAGUCUGGUCCAGGACCGCAAUUUGAGCCCUUGAUAGCACCUUCCAUUGCUACAACAUGAGACGGAUGCAUCAAUAUAAGUUGGCCUCUAAUCUAGCUCAAUCUGAGUACAACCUGGUUGCUUUGAAAUGCUAUCGCCGAUCAUCCCAGUCCUUAAAUGCUCGACAUCUUCCCAUCUCUCAGCUUCUGCAUAAAUGUUCGACAUCAGAACAUAAUCCGCAUCACUCAGUGGAGCCAAAUCCGCAAGCUCUUUAAAUGCUUCUUCUGCCAACUCCACAUCACCAUGAACUCUACAAGCCCCAAGCACCGUCUUCCACAACACUGAAUUUGCCUUUGUUGGCAUCUCCUUUAUCAUCUGAAAAGCUUCCUUAACCAGUCCACACCGGCUCAGCAGAUCAACCAUGCAACCAUAAUGUUUUAUAUCAGGCUCAAUGUUAUAUUCUUUGACCAUUCUCCAGAAAAAGUCUUGCCCCUCCUUUAGAAGACCCUUGUGGCUACAAGCAAGCAAGACCCCGAGAAAAGUGACCCGGCUGGGCUUUGCACUCCGGCUUGCCUCCCUCUCCAUGGAAGCAAACAGCUCAAGAGCGUCCUUGCAGUGACCAUGUACUGCCAGAGCCACAAUCAUUGUAUUCCAGCAAGUCACAUGCUUCACCCCCAUCGCAUCGAACACUUGCCAAGCCAGCUUCAAGUUACCGCAUUUCGCAUACAUAUCCAACAGAGCAUUGCCCACAUAGCCUUCAAUCUUGAACUCCUUCUCUCUCAAGUAUUUGUGUACCUCGUUACCCAUCUCAAAUGCACCGGUCUCAGCACAAGCUCCAAGAACAGACACGAUGGUUAGCUCCGUCGGCUUGACAUCACUCGCUUGCAUCUGUUUAAAUAGUACCAGCGCAUGCUUGUAGUUCUUAACCUGAAUGUAACCUGCCAUUAAGGUGUUCCAAGAGAUGGCAUCUCUUUGAGGCAUUUCGUUGAAGAUUUUCCUCGCCGCAUUAACGUCUCCCAGCCUCACGUGUCUCGUGAUCAUACUAUUCCAAGAGACCACGCUCUUCUCCUCCAUCUGGUAGAAAAGCCAGUCCGCCAACUCGUGUUCUCCAUUCCUAUCAAAGGCAGCUAUCAUAAUAUUAUACGAGACGGUGGUCCUUUCAACCAUUUCAUCAAACACCUUGCUGGCGUCGCCGACGCGCCCGCACUGGGAAUACAUCGACAUAAGCGAGUUCUGGAUGAAGCCGUCGCGGUCCAGCCCAAGGCGGAAGGCGCGGCAGUGGACUUCGGAACCCUUCCGAGCGAGGGCCACACGGGGGAACCUCGCGCUCGACGUUGGCGGAGCGGCCGCAGG